UAUCUUGAUUACUUUAAAUCAAAUACAAGGUUUACUAAUUAUUACACAGAUUCUUUUACCUUUAUACAUUGCCCUUUCUCAAUUAAACAAUUUACAUUUCCUUUCAUCAACUAUAAACAGAUGAAAUAUACAAGGUAAAACUAUACUCAAUGGAUGUCGCUAUCUAUUGCGCGCUGUCCCUGUCACGAUUCUCGAUCACCCCACACGAACUAGAACCUGCAUGGUUAGUGGUGUGAGAACUACUAAAAGUUCCCAGUGGGUUCGGCCGCCGACCCCGCCGACUCACCCACUAGGUCUAUUCAGGCAUAUGUAGGCAAAAAAAAAGAAUAGAUAGUAACCAGCUAUAACAUGUAACUACUACAAUGCCUAUACAAAGCUGAAAGAAACAGUAGAUAAUAUCUGAAAUUUAUGCAUGCAUGCUGUUCAUAAUUAUUAUCCAAUUAAACUGGUUAACCCUUUGGUUAACAAAAACUCACCGACGAAAUCACAAGUAUCGGGGAGACGCAAGCUACAUCCCGACGGGACUGUCUACUGGGGGAGACGCUAGCUCCUGAUCCAGUUAAGAUGACUACUCCGGAGCUCAUCGUUCAAGGAGGAGCGAGUAUGAUCUGAUCCUAUUGUGAGUAUGAUCUGAUCCUCCUUUAGAAGGUCCAACAAAUGACAAUGCCACAUUUUAACUCUAACUAGCCCUUUAUGCUAGUUUUACAAUUUCAUUCUCAAUGCUAACCAAAUCUCUAGUCAUGAUGUCACCAAAUUUACUAUUGUCAUAGUCCACAGUAAAGUUCACACAUUUAUAGAGUUCUAUGUUCAUAUUCUAUGGCCCACAUGUUCUUUACAUUGACAGAAAUUCAAUUGCAUAAUAACACUUUUCCCUAUAAUGCAUGAAUAUGAUACAAUUCACAUAUAUAGAUAUGCUCAAUAAGAUAGCAUAGACAUAAAGAGGGAUUCGAUGACUUCGGAUAGCACCACCCACCUAUAGGACUGUCGAAGACUAGAACCAACGUCACGAACCGUAUAAACAUUAGUCCACACGACUCGAUGCGAACAGGGCUAGAACGAAGCGUUUCUUAAUUAACGCAUCGUAGGUCCGUCAGAAUAUCAAUUCGAACUUCCGAGCACGUCUGACCUUCAUUUAGAAAGGAAUAAAAGAGAUUAACCGAAUGUUAUAACAUCAUCUCUACAAUUUCUACAUUCCCAUCCUGAUACUUAGCUCUUGAAUGCCUUCGCAGCCAAGUACUUGCACAUAUCACACUACAUAUAGCUUUUCACUAAGUUUACUUGGCAAUGAGAAACCUUAGUAAUCCUAAUUCUUGUAGCUUAAACCUUCUUAUAACCAUUAAGUUUCUUCUCUAAAUCAAUCAUCAUAUACUAUAAUCAGGAAUUAAGCUCCACUUGUCUCAUAUUACACUUUUUACUUAUGUGUACACCAUACAUAUUUACAUACAACAUAAGGUUUACUACUUAGGUUCUAUAACAACUUUAACUCAUACAUGUGAGGUUAAUUUCUUGAUUUACCAAGCAUCAAAGAACUCCUCUUUGCUAAGUAACUACUUUAAACUUAUCAUAGAGCUAGCAGCUUAAGUUCCACCUAUCACUUACACAUAUACAUGAUAACCAAUUUAUCUCUUACGCUCAUAGCCAUUAGAAAUGUUAGCAUUUAACAAUUCAUUAUGCCACUCUUUUACAAAAUAACAACAUCACCUCUAACCAGGAUUUAAUGGUAAUCAUCUCAGAUUUUAUCCCCAACAACCAUUCAUAUGCAUAUAUAAACACAUGCUGUCAACAAAGUUUCUCCAAACCUUUUCAUGGUAUUAAGGUUGCUACUACCCAAUUAGGUUCCAGCUUAAGUUCCACCUUUCUUGAUUUACAUACAACAUAAGGUUUACUACUUAGGUUCUAUAACAACUUUAACUCAUACAUGUGAGGUUAAUUUCUUGAUUUACCAAGCAUCAAAGAACUCCUCUUUGCUAAGUAACUACUUUAAACUUAUCAUAGAGCUAGCAGCUUAAGUUCCACCUAUCACUUACACAUAUACAUGAUAACCAAUUUAUCUCUUACGCUCAUAGCCAUUAGAAAUGUUAGCAUUUAACAAUUCAUUAUGCCACUCUUUUACAAAAUAACAACAUCACCUCUAACCAGGAUUUAAUGGUAAUCAUCUCAGAUUUUAUCCCCAACAACCAUUCAUAUGCAUAUAUAUAAACACAUGCUGUCAACAAAGUUUCUCCAAACCUUUUCAUGGUAUUAAGGUUGCUACUACCCAAAAUCUAUAGAUUAAUCCUCUCUAGAAUGAAAACAUACAACCUUUAAACAAGGGAUUAACUUCACCACCCUUCACUUUUUAACAACAAUUCACAAGUGCAAAUACACCUACAUGCUGCCCCUUAGUGCAGUUUAUAGGUUUCUAGCUUUAUAUGGUAUCAUCCACAAGCUUCAGACCCCAAAAUUCAUAGCUCAAGCUUUCUUAGAAUAAGAACACACUCAAACCAGGGAUAUUUAACCAUUCUAUUUCAGAUUUUGUCCUCCCAAUUUCUCAACUCAUGCAUACAGGCUGCUAACAAAACUCUCCUAAGCCUUUACAAGCUUUAGAAGUCAAGAUGUCCCAAAUUUAACCUCUUAUAAAGCAAAUAGCUUAAAUCCCGACUAAGAAACAACUUCUUAAGUUAAUUAAAUAUCACUCUAAUCAGCCAAUAUAUCAACCCAAUCUCAGGUUGCUUACUUCACUACAUAUAUACACAUAAUACAUGGCUGGUUCUAUGCUUCAUGGUAUCUACAAUCCUUAGUAACCAAGGAAUUCUCAAUUAGAUCCUUUCUAGGGCAAAUAGCUCAACUCAAAUCAGAAAUUAGAUCAAACUUACUUCAGUUGGAUUCUCCAACAAUUAAUUCCCUACUCAAGGGCUCCUUCCCUCAGCUCCAACAGCAAAGAAAACCCCAAUUCCAUCAAACUCUCUUUCGUAUAGUUGCUAACUAUUCUACAUCAUAAUACCAACUUUAAUUACUUAGAAAAUUUCUAUUAGAUUAGCUAAUCUAAUUCUUAGCUGAGAAUUAAUCUCUUACCUCAGAUUUCCACCUCUCAUCUGCUGAUUUUCCUGCUCGGACACACCUCGCAGCCCCAAAAUAUCAAAUCUGCCAACUUCUCCACACUAGCUUUGCCUAGGUUUAGAGAGAUAAAGAGAAGAAAAAAAAACUGAAAAAAGGUGAGGAAAGGACAGCCCCUGGUAGGUAGCAGCUGCAGGGAGUGGCUGGAGUUGAGAAAAGCUCAAAAAAACUGCACUUUAGCCCCUCUAAAUUGCUGAAACUGCACCCUGCAGUUUACAAAACAGUCCCUGCAGGUUUACAAUUCAGUCCCUGCAUGUCACGCCCCGAGACCGCUCCCAAUUUGGUCCGGUUCGGGCACGCCGACAGACCGCCGAACGGACCGGGGUUUCCCCUGUACGCUGACAGAGUCUCCCCUGUGCGUUCUAGGCGUCGCAAUCCAAACAAUGUACAUUACAAAGGUUCCAACCAGGAACAGUACUCAGCAAACAGAAUUGCAUCAGGAAGGUAUCAAUCAACAUAAACACAUCCUAAGAUAUUACAUCCAUUCAUUUUACAUCACAAUUCCAUUACAUUCAACUUCCAAUACCAUUAAGUUAUUACAACAUUUAUUUAUUACAAUUACAAUUUGAUACAUUUGCUUCCUUUCAUUUUCUAUACCCCUAAGCUAUGUCGACGGGGUACUGCUAGCUCUGGUCUCUGGGGGUAGGGCGCUAUCUAUGGAGCUACGCCCUUGCCUCGCGCCGCUCACGUGCGAACCUGUAAAACCCCAAAACAACGUGGGGUGAGAACCAACUCCAUGGUUCCCAGUGGGUACGGCCACCCAAGGGAGGAGCUCGACCAACAGGUCCAAGGGAGGCAAAUACAAGUUAGUCCAAUAAACAGAUAGAUAUGUAUAUCAUAAACAUGCAACUAACUUUACCUUGCUUUGCCUCACAACUGCAAUGAUGUCAUGCUAUAUGCAACAGGAAUAUAUGCAACAACUAGUAGAAUUAUUGAUUCUACAAUCAAUCUCGCUAAUCUUAGCUCAUAUCAUCCAACUCUAAGGUUUCCACUACCUUAGGUUAUCACAUUUACCACUAGCCCUCAAGGUUCUAUCUACCAUAUUCCAGCUAGCCACUCGACUCGGCCUCGAGUCAAUCAACAGCGGAUAAUCCGCGCUCUGCCCGGCUCGAGGUGAAGGAUCCUGUCGCAUGCACCUCAGCCUGCAAGCCAAGAACCACAUCGCCCAACGGUCCGCCCGAAGGUCCGUGCACCGUGGUCAGGGAUCAGCCAGUGGGGGAGGAAACAUAGCCGCGUACACCCAUAGCCAAGAUCCCCGAUAGGGAGAGGAAUAUUUACCGCAUCCACCCUAGCGCUCUUUGUUCUUGCUUAGUCAUAAUCCUCAAAGUUCUUUCCGGUGGGAGAGGAACAUCGCCGCAUACACCCGCGGUCCAAGAACUAUUGAGUUCACAAGUACUGGGAUUCCAGAAUCGACUUCACAAGUCAAGGGUCCAUAUCCAACCCUAUACUAUUGACCUAUCUAGGUCCAAUGCACUUUCCACCCUAGGUCCAACUGACUCUAGGUCUAAUGCCUCAAUUUCACAACCUAGGUUUUACCUUAACUCUAGGUUCAGUUCUCAACCUAUGUUCUUUAACACUAGGUUAGAUGCCACACACCUAGAUCCCGACUCUAGGUUCAUACUCAACCUAUGUUCUUUAACACUAGGUUAGAGGCCACACACCUAGAUCCCGACUCUAGGUUCAUACUCAACCUAUGUUCUUUAACACUAGGUUAGAUGCCACUCGUUGUUUAUCCUAGGUUCAACAACGCUAGGUUCAAUGUCAUCUAUGUUCGACCUAUAUUUAUUAACACUAGAUUAAUGCCACUCGAUCUACUUGAUAUCCUACUUGUCAUAUCAAGUCCAUACACACAUGCACCUAGCAUAUAUUUCCAAUGCACUUAUACAUAUCAUUUACAUCAUAUUAUUAACAUGCAUUAUUUACAUUUAUAUGCAUAAUCUAUAUGCCUCAUUUACAUUCAUAUGCAUCAACGUGGAUUCUUAAUCAUCUUAGACAUAAAGGGCGACCUAGUCGCUUCGGUAAACACAACCCACCUUAAUUCGCGUUCCGAUUGCUCGUCGACACUUGCAAUCGGCUUCCCGCGGCUCCCGUGACCCGGUUCGGCUCGAACUCUUGCGCGACCACCCGAACGGCCACCAAUCCGCGAUCCGUCUAUUCUGGAGUUUAUUCCACGACACCACGAUGCUCCCGAUCCGCUUUCAUGAUUUUUGGAGGCUUAUCUCGCGUGCUGCGGCUAUCUGUACCAAAACAGACUGUUUCGUUAAUAACUUCGCGUACGCUCGUCGGAUUGUCGAACCGAGCACACCAACGCGUUCGUUAUAUCCCCAAUUAGGUUUACAGAGGGUUAAAUGAGAUCAAACCCAUCUAUUUACAAAAAUCCCAUUUUUGAGCCCUAGUUUGCGACUACGGCAAAAACCACUAAAUCGAUCUCCGAUUCAUACAAUAAACACCUAUCUAGCAUCAAAGGAGCCUACUAAAUCCAUUUCUAGAGCAAUUAGACUUAUUUCUAGAGAUCUACCAUGAGAGGGUAACAAAGCUUACCUCUCUAGAUUGCUCCAAGCGCGAGGAAGACGAAGGAGAGGAUGAAGAUCCUUUUCUUGAUCUUCUUCUCCUUCUUCUUCUUCUUCUCUUCUUCUCCUUCCUCUUCUUCUUCUCUUCUUCCUUCUUCGUUUAGAGAGAGAGAGAGAGGGGUUUGGGGUUGAAACGGUGAGGGAAAGAGAGAGAGAGGUGUUCUAACCCUCUCUAUACACUUAACCCAUGCCACAAUUGCAUAUAAGUCCCUCAACAAGCCUCUUCUUGCAACAGCCCGAACUGGGCAUUUUCGGGGUUCGGGGACCGGUCUCUGCAUGAGGGACCGGUCUCUGAGAGACCGGUCUCUCUACUUGGGACCGGUCCCAGAGAGACCUCCAGCCCAGACUUAGCCAAUUUUCAGCUUCGUCCGUUUUCGCUCCGUUUUCGCCCGUUUUCGUUCGUUUGACCUCCGAUUCGUCUCAAAUCGAACCGAGACUCUCCAAACAUGUUUUCAAACAUGUUUUCAUCAUCUUUCCAUCCUCGCUAAUGCCGGAUUUAGCUCACGGCCCAAGUUAGCCUUUCGGGUUCCGUUUUCGCGCCUAUGCGCACCGAAACGCCCGAUUGCUCCAGAACUUCACCGAACUUCACCAGAACCAUUCUAAUGGCUCUCCAAUCGAAUGUACACCGUAACUUCAUAGUUUUAGAAGUCCGGUACCUUACACUGCAGGUUUACAGUUCAGUCCUUGCUGGCAGCAGCAGCUUUGGCAGCCCCUUUCUCACAUCCGGCUCACUCCGAAUUCAUCCAAACACUUCCAACACAUGCGAAUACACCUCCACAAGCUACCAAUUUAAUUUGGAAGCAUUUAAUUACCAUUUUAGCAUUAUCUUGACCAUUUUGAUCAAGAUUAACAACAUACCCCACAUCCAACAUACUACAUCGCAGCAGCAGCUGUUGAAGGCCUUUUUUGCUCAUCUAGUUCACUCCCACGCAUCCAAAUUGAUUCGAGGAUACUACAACUCAUCCUCUUGCCUCACUUUGACUUAUUUAUUCAAAGUUAGCGUUGCAAUCCAAAAAUUCUCAAUCGUGUCCAUUUCGCGCCCAAUUGACGUUGAAAUACUCAAUUACAUUCAGAACUCAUUCCCACACCUCUAAAAUCACUCGGGAAUGAUGCAUAUCCAAUUCAAACUUCACUUCGAUCUUCCAGAUGAAAGUUAGCAUUGCAACCCAAAAUUUUUCGUAUAUUACAGUAGACACCACGGGUGAGAGUGCCCGGCGAAGAUCCCUCGGGUGAUAGUGCCAUGUGCCUUCCUCGGUAGACGGGAUGGAUCCCUCGGGGGGCAUUUUCAAAUGCUAAUCCCGGUAGAUGGGAUAUGUGAGAUGUGAGUUUGGGGUGGACUUGAUGAACCCCGGAAAGAUUGGGUAAAGGCCAAGUAAAAUGAGAAAUAGACAUGCAUGCAUCAGAUUCAUGUAUUUGAUUAUCUAUCUAUCUGUUGACAGUUGUUUUGCAGGCAUUGUAUUAGUAAUUGCAUUAGAUGGUUCGGUAUCUAUCUUUAUUGAAAUACAUAUACCUGAAAUAGACCUAGUGGGCGAAUCGGCACAGUCGGUGGCCGAACCCACUAGGAACUUCGUUCUAGUUCUCAUUCCCACUAACCCUACAGAUCCGUGAGCGAGCGGGGCGGCGGAGGAUCGAGGCAAGGGGCUAGCGCCGUAGAUAGUGGCCCUCAGAGCAUAGGCAUACCCUAUGUACAUUCAACUUUUGUAUAUUGAACUAGUAAUGUAAAAUGAUGUAAAACCUUUUAUUUGGUUAAAGGCUAACGUGGUGUAAAUGUGAAUGGAAAGAAUGAAUGUAAAUGUAAUAGAUUACUUGUGUUUGAUUCAAAUGUAAUCAAAUGACAUGUAUGUGAAUAAAUGCUUAGUUAGUUUCGAUGCUUUCACAUGUGAGUUUGUUGUUGUUUGCCCUCGUGCAAACCUUAUAUAUCUUGCAAUCUUCUUGUUGACUUACUUGUAAUAUACAUGUUGAUAGAGCCUUGGGCGGACAGGGGAGGUGCUGUCCGUUCGGUGUCUGUUCGCGUGCCCGAACCGACCAAAUUGGCGGCUCCGGGGCAUGACACACCUGGUCGGUUUGGCCACCGACCGGAGGUGUACUUAUCCGAAUGGGUCGUCCUGUGGGCGGAUGAAUCAGGUCGGUGCAGAUUAGUGACAGGCAGCGCUUGAGGUCUGCGGACCGAUAUAGCAGGCACAAGAUUGGGUACAGUUUUUGGUUAGUUACCUUGAGGCAUACUUGCAUUGUUUUCUAUACAGUAGCAUAUUUAUUACUUGCUUCUUAUCAUAUCUGCUGUAACUACUGUAGUUCCCUUUUGUAUUACAGCAUUCAUACUUUGUUUAUCUUACCUCCCUUGGUUUCCGGUGAUUACGACUUGCCUUCGUGGUUCUGUUGUACCCACUGGGAAACCUUGAUUGCGGUUUCCCACCCCCCAUUUCCUAGGUGAUUCGGGCAAGGAGUUGGUGUUGGGCGCGACGAGAGGACGAUCUAGCUAGCUUGCCGUAGCGACCGUCACCCUGGUUAUAUUUCAUUCCUGCAUUUAGUAGUUUAAUAAAUAAAUAGUUCAGUUAGAUGAUCACUAUGAAUGUUUGAAUGUUUGUGAACUGGUUUUAAUUGAUGAUUUACUGAUGCAUGAGAUUAGAGAUUUGUGGAUCCGUGGAUUUGGUUUUAUAGAUAUAUAGUUCUUGUAUUUAUGGAUUUAUGCAUCGUGGUUUUCUACCCCUCGACGUAGUCGGUUUUCAAAAUAGAGUUUUCGAGUGGAAAACAAUUUUAAAAGGUUUUCGAAUGGUUUGUGAAUGAUUGAAUUAGAGUUUAAAAAUAAAGCUUCCGAAAAUUCCAGGUGGGGAGCACUCUUAGAUAUGAUGCUUGUUGUAUUGUGCAUUGCAUCAUCCAGUACCUAAGGAGUGUUCCUAAGGAGUGUUUAGAGACAUGCACCAUUUCUAAGGAUCGCUAGCUGUAUGCAAAUGUAUCGCAUAAAUUGGUUGUUGAUUGGUAAAUGUAAGUUGUGGUUGAGAUCCUGAUGUAUCGUUGGUAUGCCGUGCAAAUACAAAGUAGACUCUGUCCGAGUGGACAGAGAAACUUUGUAUUUAUGGCGGGUCUGUACGUCACGUGGGCCAGGUUAAAAAAUAAAAAAAAAAAUGGCACGUUUUCUGUAACUCUGAUUUCAAAAUUGGUAUCGAUUUAAAAAGACUUUUAUAAUAGGCCCCGGGGCGUUACACGCUCCCUCUUCGUCGCCGCGUGGGUGGAGCGCCAUGUCUUCGGAUUCUAGAGAAUCGUCCAUGGGUACGUUCUUUUACUCUGAACUCUAUUCGUUUGAUCUCUUUGUUGCUCUAAUUUGGUCACUUUACUGGUUCUAACUUCGUAAUUGGAGGAAUUUGAGUGUUUUUUUUUUCUUUCAAAUCUUUAAUUUAACAAUAUGUUAGGGGUUUUGGUUUCCAAGAAAAUUUUCAAUUUUCUUGUUUAUUUAUUUUCUUAUUAGGACUUAGGGUUUAGGGUUUAGAAAUCAUGAAGAUUGCAAUCCUUUUGGUUGUAGAGUUAACUUAUCUCUACACAAAUAUAUAGAUAUAGUUCGAUUCUACAAAUAUAGAAACUAUGGGAUUUCUUAGAAAUUAGUAAUGGUUUAGUAAAUCUUACUGAUCGGAUAAAAACUGCACCACUAAAAUUUAAAGAAUAAUAAAUUGCAAUACGAAUGAUUACAUACAAAUCAUAAGCUAUACAUUUAACGAGCCUCAAUCUAUCUGCAGAGAUCUCUAGGAUUUUAUUCAAAGUAGUCCCCAUUAUCGUGCAUAUCCAAAUUAAAUAGAAUAUAUUAGCUUGUAUAUGACAUAGACAACAUCUCUAUUUAACAGUGUUUAGAAUCUACUGCUAGUCUUGAAUAUGCAAUCUGCUUUGAUAUCAACUGCAGUGAAUACGGUACUGGCGUGGGGAUUUCGCAACGAAGGCGUGAAAUUGAAUUUUUACUAUAAAAGUGCUCUUCUUAAAUUUGCAAUCCGCUCUAACACCUACUACUCUAAAUCCGAUACCAGUAUUAAAAUUUCGCAAUAAAAAUGUCAAAUCGAAUUUUUAACAUAAACUCAUAAAUAGCUGAUACAAUUACAAAAGAGAGAAAAUCAAAAAAAUAUAUAGAUAAAACAAGAUCCACUAAAUUAGAAAAGAAUUAAACCCGAAUCUCUCACACACUUCUAGAUCUUAUUUUCUAUAAACGCUCUCUCUCCAACUCGGUACUGACGUCCAAGGCUUUCUUGUUUCAGAACUCGAGCUACUCCUUAGUGUCAUAUAUAUAAUGCGUAAAUAAUGAUAUAUCUAAAUCUAAUAUAAUUAGGAAUAUUACUCUAGCUAAUAUUUAAAUUUAAAUUAAUUUAUCUUUAAUGAAUUAAAAUGUUUCUUCUAAUUCAAUUAGGAGUAAACCACAAAUUUAACUAAAUUAAAAUAUUUAUCCUAAUUCAACUAGAAAUACACUAGAGACCUAACCAAUUCCUAACAGACAGUUUAAAUUUUUUGGGUUAGGUUUGGGCCUUUUAGCAUCCUCGACUGCAUGCUCCCUCUGGCUUCUCCGGAGAUGAAGCCUAACUUGAUAAGAUUGAGGGGUUAAUUUGACCGAACUAAUAGAGAUGACGGUUAUAAAACUAAUUUAUAAGACCUACAAAAUUUUCUCUUCAAUUUUAAAUAAAUUGUUUUACUUCGUGAAUUAUGUCGUCUAUAUAAUUUUUUUAUUAUAGGUAAGUUCCAAAUUAGCGAAAAAACUCAGCAAUUUUAACUAUUUGUUCACAAUUAGUUUGUUGCAACGGAUCUAAUCCUACGGGCGAUAACUAUCGAUUGUAUCAGCAGUCUAGAUCAGUGCAAUUUAUUAGCGCGUCAUGUCAUUCACCUUAAACAAACUCAGCAGGUGAACCAACCAGCCAAAGAAGCAGCAGCAGCAGCAGAAGAGGCGGUGAAACAGGAAUCAGCUGCACCUUCUAAUUAAUUCUCAACCAAAAAAAGAAAAAAAGGUUAUAAAAAAAAAAAAAAAAAAAAAAACUAUGUGAGUAUAAAAAAUUUCAAUGAAACUCUGUUUGGUUUGGUUCUGCAUUUGCAAGCCGUGCUUUGGAGCGAAGUAAAUUGUUUGAUGCAGCACAUAACUACACUGGAGGUUAACAGAACCCGCGCCGAUCUGCAAUCAUCUCUGCCUGCGACCACUUCCACCGGCUCAACCGUAGCCCGACAGAACGGGCACGUCGAGUGCGAGCUAGUCGUGUCUUGCUGCUGGGCCAUCCAUGAAUUGGUCGACAUGGUAAUUAACCGGAGUAGUUACGGAUUGUAUAAAAGGAUUUGCAGCUUGGAUUAGUUAAGCUUACACUUCUAUUUAUGUCCGGUGAAUAAAUCUCUGUUAUUAAUUCGUGCAUCUUAGCCCGUGGUUUGAGUUGGAUUAACGGGAAAUUAAUUAUCAGCAACAAAUUAAAGCGGUUUCAGGUUUCGAAAACAAAUGGAACUGAGUUUAUAUGCCAAAUAAAAUUUUAAAAAAAUUAUUUGGCAAAUUAAAAAAUUUUUAUAGAAAUUAUUUUUUUAAAAAAAGUCCUCUAAAAGCAUCUCCUCUAUUUCAAGAAAAAUCCUGAACUAGAAUUUAAUAAUAAUUUAUAAAUUUUUUACUCAGAUAAUCCAUAAAUUUUUAUGAAAAUUGUGGAAAGAUAUGAAGAGCUAUCUUAGUAACAUAAAGCAAUGGAGUAUUGCUCAGGCAUAACUAUUGCCUUAACUACAAUUAACCUCACUAACUAAUGAAACUAGAGAGAAACGAUUCGGUAUUUUAUUUUAUAAAAAAAUAAAAAGAUCUUAACUGUAGUGUUUCGAACAAUUUAACUGUCGGAAUGAUCGCAAUUUCGGCAAUAGGAUGACACACCCGUAGAUUAUCGGGGUGAGUUGGAGUUGUUGGGAUGCAAAAUUGGUGCCACGAAUUAUUCCGAAAUCUGAAUUAAUUGCAGCUAGAACAAGUUAUUGAUGUGGGAGCCAAGGGAUCAACUUAUCUUUUCACCUACCACUAAUGGAAGUUUUAGAUUUUAGUGGUUAACUCUCAACUGAACAUUGGACUUCACUUCUCCUUGCUCUCUCCUGCGCAUUGCUGCAGGCAGGAGCCUCACCUGUUGCCAGCAACUAACAAUAGCCAGCAGCAGCCACCUCCAUACAGGCUGCUGGUGGGACUCCAAUUCGAAAAUUGGAGUUGGUUUUGGAUAAAAGGAGGUAGCGGAGCUCAGUAUAAACCAUUUCUUCCAGCUAAUAUUGAGGUUAGUAUGAUGGAAUUUAUAAUAUUUUGGUGAAGUAAUUGCUGAAAUGGUGAAUAAUGUUGGAUUUCACAAUUCUUAGAUUUGAUGGAAUUUACCUUGCUUAAUCCAGUUAGAGCUUUUGCUGGGUUUUGGGUGAUCUUAACUUCAUCUUUUGCUGGUAAGAAUCUUAUUUGGGCUGAAUCGAAGGUUAGUUCAGAGAGAAUUUCAGUUUUUACUUGAGUUCCAAUCACUUUGACCUCAUGCUGAAAUUCUGAUUUUUAAUCUAAUGUCCACCUCUUUUAAUUGGCUGAGAAGUAUUGGUGUGAUUUGGAUGUUUUCAUUGUAGAUGAGUGUUGAGCCAAUUAGGCGCGGAUGAGAUUUAGGUGCGAAUAUUCUUUAAAAGCGUCAAUUCAGUCGUGUAUCAGGAGCACCAGAAAAGGGUAUCGCGCCAAUUGAAGAAAGUUACGGUAACCGCAAGCGGUUACAUGCGAUUCCGAUCGGCUAGAAGUGGUCAGGAAUAUGAGGAAAUAGUGGCCGAUCGUGUAAAGAGCAAUAACUGACCGAAGGGGCUAUCUAUAAAUAGGGUAAUAAUACCCCAAAAAGAGGUCUUCGCCCCUGCGCACAAAAGACCACUUUUAUUUUCCUGCAUUUUUCUUUCUUGCAUUUACUGUUUUUCCUAGGAGUAGUUCUUGUAACUUAGAUAUUUGGAGUCUGUCUGCCCCAUGGGCAUCACUCCCUUAUAGAAUAUACUUGGAGUCUGUCUGCCCCAUGGGCAUCACUCCCUUGUAGAAUAUAUUUGGAGUCUGUCUGCCCCACGGGCAUCACUCCCCUGUUCUUGUACUCUUCCAUUCCCUAUUCAAUAGAAAGUCACGUUCGGCUAUUCGGGCCGACCAGAUUUUGUGUUGUGCUAGCCAUUCGGCUCAUCUCCCGGCUUAAUUUUCGACUUUCCACGCACAUUCGACUCAUCCAGCCGAACCGGAGAGUGAAAAGAGCUUUCGAACCCGGCUGACCCGAUCCCUCGUCAGCCGAAUCGCUUGAUCUGUCGAAGGGCGCAAACUUCGAGGGUCACUAUUCGCAGCAGUUUAGCAUCCCGACACGCUCCCAGAGGAGGAUCGUUGACUAGGUCAAGGGUCGGGGAAUUUCGACACCAACAAUUUUUUGGCACGCCCGGUGGGACACUAACAUAAGGUAAAUUUGCAUUAUAUAUAAAGUAUGGCUAAUGAUAACGCCACUAAUCUUCGUAAUAGGGCUAUCCCUAGAAAUUCUGGGAGUGAACAGCCCAGUAAUUCAGAGAAUGUUGUAGAGCGCCAAGCAGUCUUACCCGCUGAAGGUGAGACCAGUGGUCAUUCUGGCCAACAAGAGCCUAGCCUGGCUCAAGCGCUUGGGCAGAUGACUCGGGUCCUUCAAGUUUUGGACCAAAACAGUCAUGCGAGUUCUGCACGGCUGGAUGCCGUCUUGGCCGCAAUUACGGCCUCUAACGAGAACAUCGCCCGAAUAGGGCAGUUGUUAACUCGGAACGAACAGCCGAUAACAGGCUUGCAAGCGCCUGUGAUAACACCAGUGUUACAAAAUCCUGUGACACCGGUAAAUGGUCAGCCCCAGCACUAGGGGGCACCAUAUCAAGUGGCUUAUAAACCGGCUGUCGUUAAUGCCGGUCAACAGCCAAAAGUGGCUUGGGGGUUACCUCCACCUCCUCCAGUAGCAGUGUACCAGCCUCAAAAUGCAGGGGCUAGGGGGCAAGCUCCAAAUGUACAAGGGGUUAAUCCCAUAGUACAAAACAUCGGAGUUCCACUCCCACCGAACCCAGCACCAGCGCAAGCUCCUUUACAGGGGAUUAAUAACGAGAUUUAUGUGCAAAUAGAAGAAGCCAUCCUGAAUACUUUCGAAGUAGGCGCAAGGCCGGCAAUGCGGCCCGUAUUCAGGUCACCAUAUCUUGCAAAUAUAGAUAUAGAACACCCAUAUCCGGCAAAUUGGAAGAUGCCGAAAUUUGACAAGUUUUCCGGCGACGAGACCGAGAAUACGGUCGAGCACGUCGCGCGGUUUAUUGCUCAGUGCCGUGAGGCCGCGGCAAAUCCUUUUUUAAAGUUAAGAUUAUUUAAUACCUCAUUAACUAAGACGACUUUUACUUGGUACACGAGCUUACCUGCUAAUUCUGCCCGAGAUUGGGACGGGUUAGAAGGUAAAUUUCAUGAACAGUUUUAUAGAACAGAGCCAGAACUAUCAGUUGCGGAUUUGGCUCAAUUCAAACAAAAAACAGGAGAAUCAGUUGAUGAAUAUUUGAACCGAUUCAAAACUGCUCGAAGCCGUUGUUUCGCAAGAAUGCCGGAAUCGAAAUUUGCCAAAAUGGCAUUCAACGGCAUGCAUUUUAAAAUUAAAGAUCAUUUUGAGGAUAAAUUCUUUCCAAAUCUUUUUGAUUUGGGAGUUCGGGUUGCUCAAUAUGAGCAAUUUCGGAAAGGUAACAAUGAAGAUCAGCCCAGAUGGAGCCGAAACAAAGAUUGGAACAAAAGAAAGGAGAAAAAUAUCUCUUUCUUUGAAGAGUUUUCGGCUCAUGAAGAGCCGAAUUCGUCUGAAGAAAAUGAGGAUUCGGCUGAUGAAGCCGGAAUUUGUGCUGCCGAGAUGGUGAGAAAUAAUCAACCAUACAAAUGUGCUUUGUUAAGACCUGCCAAGUCAAGAGAGGCGAAAGCACAUGUGUCUGCAUUUAGUUAUUCGUUUGAUAUAGCAAAGACCGAUUUGAUUUUUUAUCGGUUGCUAAGGGAUGGACGAAUUAAACUACAGGAGGGCCAAACUAUACCUCCUGUAGAAGAACUAAAACGCAGAAGAUAUUACAAGUGGCACCAUUCAUGGAGCCAUAAAACUAGUGAAUGUACUGCCUUCAAGAAACAAAUUCAAAAAGAGAUAAAUGAGGGUCGGCUUAUCUUUGCCGACCAAGAAAAUAAAGAUAUGAAAAUUGAUAAGAAUCCUUUUCCAUCACAGGUCAACGCCGUGAAUAUGAAAGGAAAAGGAAAAGCGACUGCGAAAAGGCAGAUCCAAGAAGAAAUAGACAAGGGUCGGCUCAUAUUAGCCGACCAAGAAAAUGAAAAUAAAGUAAUUAACAGAAGUUCGUUUCCGUUUCAGGUUAAUAUGGUGAAUGUUAAAGAAAAAGAGACUGCAGACAAGGAGACCGCAGACAACGUGGCAUAUGCCAAAAAGCAUCUUCGGCUUUGCAUAAGGUGCAAGGCCGAAAUGACAAAAAAAGAUUGGGAAGCCAUUGUGAAUGCCAAGAAAAGAGGCAACGAGUGGAAUGAGUUGAUGGCGUUCCCUGAGGAAUGGGAUUACAUUCCUGAUGGUGAAGACCAAGAAGAAGAAGGCUCGGACGAGGCCUCCAAUGACACUAAACCGGAAGUCAAAUCGGUUCAACGCAAACAAGACAUGUUGAUGCAGAAGAUUCUGCAUGAUUAUUACAACAACAGGCGUAACGAGCGUCAAAGCCAAUGGGACUACCAGGAUAGACCUUUCGGCACCAAGCCAAGGAUUCCUGGAUAUCAGCCACAUUGGCAGCAUCAAACGAGGCCGAGACCAGAACCGGAAUUCAAGGGAAUAACCGAGGGAGACAUAGAAUUCCUUGGUCGGAGAUUAGUCAACGAGCUCAGCAUUUAGCCUUGGCCGAGACCUUGGGAGAGAAGAGAAAUUUUGAAAAAUCAUUUAAGGACAGUAAAGGUACCGGCGAACGUGCCAAUGGAUGAAUGGCACGAAGUUGAGGUUAAACCAUCGGCUAGGAGGCAGGGGCCGAUGUUAACGAAAACUCAAAAGUGUCGGCAGCAGAGGAUGCAAGCCGAGGCAAGACAACACUACGAAGAAGCGAAAGGGAUAAGGCUCAAUGUAUGGAGGCGCCCUGAUGAACAGUCACACCCUUUUCGCCCAAUGAGAAAUGACCACGAGGCAGGCGGCUCAUCGCCUGCCCCUCGAAUGAAGUCAAGAAUAGAACGGCCAACCGAGGCCGAGUCAGAAGAAAAAAUGAGGAGGAGGGAGUUAGAAGACAAAAUAGCUUCUCUCGAAAUGAUGAUCAAGAGAGAAAGAUGGCCCCCUAAGGAAAGGGAAGUCCGGAUGGAGAGCGAUUCUUCAGCCGAGACGGCCAAGGAGUCGGAAGAAAAGAAACAGAGAAUUAAAGGAAAGUCAGCCGAAGAAUCACCGGCUGAGGUGAAUAUGGUGUAUGCUCUGCCUCAAUCUUUUAAGGCAGAGCUUAUCGAGUAUGAAGAGUUCAAAGAAGAGGAGGAAGAUGGGCUUAAAGUAGCCCAGUUGCAAUUGGAAGAUGUUCAACCAGCCGAUGUAGUGGUUUUUGAGAAACCAUCGGCUAUGCAGACGAGAUUCAUAAGGCCUCUCUUUAUAAAGGCCUUAAUUGAAGGUCGGCCAGUAGGCCGAGUUAUGGUAGAUGGUGGAGCUAUGGUCAAUGUCAUGCCCACUGCAUUCUUCAAGAAGUUGGGCAAAGAUGAAGAUGAGUUGAAACCCACGGACACGAUCAUGACCGACUUUAUUAGGAACGGUCAGCAAGCUCGAGGGGUGCUUACGACCGAGAUCACGGUAGGUUCUAAAACUUUACGAACGGCAUUCUUUGUGGUUGAUGCAGAUAGUCAAUAUAACCUACUACUCGGGCGUGAUUGGAUUCAUGCAAAUGAGUGCGUGCCUUCUACACUCCACAGGAAACUUUUUCAAUGGAUCGGAGAUAAAGUUGAAGAAAUCCGGGCCGAAGGACGGCCCCAAAUAGUGGACAUCAACACGGAAGAAAUCAGCCAUAUCAAUUGGACCGACACGGAUCCUGAUCAAAUUUUCUUCGUAAGAGUUACAGAAGAAGGAGUCCAGUUGAUCUUUACUGGAGAAGAAGGGGCUUUGGUGGCAGCCGAUGAGCCACCAAAAUGGUUAAAAUGGAGUCCGAAAAAUCAAGAAUAGAGGCUUGUCAAGAGCCUUGACAGGAUAAGCCGAUCAACAAGAUCGGCUAUAAAGAAGAUUCGGCUGCCACAGCCGAUGUGUUAACACUUGAUGACUUGGCUAGUAAAGUCGAAAAAGCCAUAAUAGAUUCGGUUUACAGGACCGAAAAAGAAAAACAAAUGAAGUCGGUCACCAAGAUCGACAAGUCAUGCGAAAUGAAUAGGCAAGCAAAAGAAUUAGAUCUAGAAGAAUCGCCUAUCAAAGUCGGUGAGAAAAAGUUGGAGACCCAAGACCCGCUGAUCGAAGUAAAUUUGGGAUUUGACGAAGAUAAGAGACCGACGUAUAUAAGCGCAAAGCUUUCGGCUCGACAGCAGAAUGAGCUGAAAGAACUAUUGAAAGAGUACAAGGACUGCUUUGCCUGGAGCUAUGAAGAAAUGUCUAGGUUAAGUCGAGAAAUUGUAGAGCAUAGGCUACCCAUUAAAAAAGGGUUUAAGCCUUUUAAACAACCGGCUCGUAGGUUCGAGCCGAGUAUUGUACUUCAGAUUAAAAAUGAAAUUGAAAAUCUUUUAAAGGCCGGAUUUAUUAGAGCGGCCCGUUAUGUUGAUUGGGUAUCUAACAUAGUUCCAGUACGAACAAAGAAUGGUAAACUUAAAGUUUGCAUUGAUUUCAGAAACUUAAAUUUAGCCACACCAAAAGAUGAGUACCCCAUGCCAAUAGCCGAUAUGUUAGUAGAUUCGGCGUCCGGUAACAAGGUCCUAUCCUUUAUGGACGGACAUGCUAGUUAUAAUCAAAUUUAUAUUGCUAAGGAAGACGUGGCUAAAACGGCUUUUAGGUGCCCUGGUUCGAUUGGAACCUUUGAAUGGGUUGUUAUGCCGUUCGGCUUAAAGAAUGCCGGAGCUACUUACCAAAGAGCAAUGAAUUUUAUUUUUCAUGAUUUAAUAGGCAAAAUUUUGGAAAUAUACAUUGACGAUAUAGUCGUAAAAUCCAAGUCGCAAGCCGAACAUUGGAUUGAUUUAAAGCUCGCCUUUGAAAGAAUGAGGAAAUAUAAUUUGAAAAUGAACCCUUUAAAAUGUAUUUUUGGAGUUUCAGUAGGAAACUUUUUAGGAUUUUUAGUGCAUAAAAAAGGGAUCGAAAUUGAUAAAAACAACGCGAAAGCAAUAUUAGAACUAUUGCCGCCAAAAAGCAAAAAAGAAUUACAAAGUUUGUUGGGGAAGAUUAAUUAUCUUCGGCGGUUCAUAUCCAACUUGGCCGAAAAAAUUAGGAUUUUUACUCCAUUACUUCGGCUUAAAGACAAAGAAGAAUUCGUUUGGACGAAGGAACAGCAAGAGGCGUUUGAAAAUAUAAAAAGAUAUUUAUCGAAUCCUCCGGUACUGGUGCCUCCAAAGCCAAAUCAGCCGAUGAAGUUGUAAAUAUCGGCUGCAGAGGAGAAUUUGGGAUGUUUGCUAGCCUAGAAAAAUGAAGAAAAAGAAGAACAAGCCAUGUAUUAUCUAAGCCGACGUUUUUUAGAUAUUGAGAAACGGUAUUCGGCUAUUGAAAAAUUAUGUUUGACUUUGUAUUAUUCAUGCAUAAAGCUAAGAUACUAUAUUUUACCGACUGAGAUGUCGGUAAUAUGCAAAACCGACCUGGUAAAGUAUAUGUUGGCCAAACCUGUAUUAAGAGGUCGACUUGGAAAAUAGAUGUUGGCUUUGUCUGAAUUCUCCCUUAAUUAUAUUCCAGCUAAAGCUGUUAGAGGACAAGCGAUAGCUGACUUCUUGGCUGAUCAUCCAUGUGUAGAAUUAGAAGAACCGAAACAAAAUUUAGUCGGUUGUCAGUCUUGCACACUUUAUUUUGACGGCUCAAGAACAGCCGAAUCAGCAGGAGCUAGAAUAGUUAUCCAAUCUCCUGAAGGGUAUUCAUGCCAAUUUGCUUUCAAGCUGGAUUUCGGCUACUCUAACAAUUAAGCCGAAUAUGAGGCCUUAAUAAUUGGCCUAGAAAUUUUACAAGAAUUGAAAGCAAAAUCAAUCAAAGUCAUCGGUGACUCACAGUUAGUAAUCAAACAAGUGAAUGAAGAAUAACGAUGUGAAAAUCUGAAUUUACAAAACUAUUUAAGGAAGACAUUAGAGUUACUAUGUGAAUUCAGAGAGACUGAAUUCAAACAUUUGAGUAGACAGAAAAAUGAAAAGGCUAAUGAACUAGCUCAGUCGGCUUCAGGAUAUAGAGAGCCGAAGUCAGAAUCAAUAGUAAUACAGAGGAGGUUGCUACCUUCGGUUCACAUACGAGAACCGAUUAUAGCUCCCAUAGAAGUAAAAGAAGAUUGGAGAGAAUUAUUAAUCAAAUAUCUAGAGGAUCCUAAUACAAGGGUCGACUAUAAUAUUCGAAGAAGAGCUCUCGGCUAUUGUUUAUUAGAUGGUCAACUUUACAAGAGAACAGCCGAAGAGAUUCUAUUAAAAUGCUUAGGACCUGAAGAAGCUCCGUUGAUAAUGGGAGAAACACAUAAAGGAAUAUGUGGAACCCAUUUAGCCGAAAAAAAGUUAAGAUGGACAAUUCGGCACUUAGGAUAUUAUUGGCCAACAAUGCAUCAAGAUUGUGUAGAAUAUGCCAAAGGUUAUCAGGAUUGCCAAUUUCAUGGCUUAAUCCAGAGAGUUCCGGCCUUUGAGAUGUAUGCAAUCAUUAAACCAUGGCCUUUUCGAGGAUGGGCCAUGGAUUUAAUUAGAAAAAUUCAGCCGAACUCCUCGGCUGGUCACAAAUUUUUAAUAGUGGCUGUAGAUUAUUUCACUAAAUGGGUGGAAGCAAAACCCACUCGGUUGGUUACCCAAAAAGAAAUUAUUGAUUUUAUUGAAGACCAUAUAAUUCAUCGCUUUGGGAUUCCCGAGACAAUUACAACCGAUCAAGGGACAAUGUUCACAGGUGGACAGUUCGUUCGGUUCAUCGAGUCUCGAAAAAUAAAAUUGCUCCAUUCAUCUCCUUAUUUUGCCCAAGCGAAUGGACAAAUAGAAGCAGCGAAUAAAAUAAUCAUCAACUUGAUGAAACGACACAUCGGAAAGGAUCCGAGAAAAUGGAAUGAAAAAACUUUUCGAAGUAUUAUAGGCAUGCCGAACUUCAGUGAAAACGGCAACAGGGAUGACACCAUUCCAAUUAGUUUACGGACAUGAGGCCGUAAUUCCAGCCGAGAUAACAGUUCCUUCUUUGAGGAUAAAAAAGCAAAAAGAUUUGUCGGCUGAUGAAUACAGUAAUCUAAUGAAGGACAAAGCAAAGGAAGUAUGUGAUACUCGGUUAAUAGCUUUAGAUAAUAUGCAAGCAUACCAAAGCCGAGUGCGUAGCGCAUACAAUAAGAGAGUUCGAUCAAAGACAUUUGUCGUCGGUGAUUUAGUACUUCUGCUGGUUUUUCAAUCAGUCAAAAAGACCGAACGUAUGGAAAAUGGUCUCCAAAUUGGGACGGGCCAUUUCAAGUCAGACGAAUCACAAGAGGAAAUGCAUAUUAUUUGCAGAACAGAGAUGGGUCAGAAAAUGAAAAACCAAUUAAUGAAAAAUAUUUAAAGAGAUAUUACCUAUCUAUGUGGGGGGAGAAAAACCAAGAUUAAAGUUAGAACAUUACAAGCCGAAUCAAAUUAACAAAUCUUUGAGUUGGUUCCAUUCGGCUAUAAGGUUGGCUUGGGCAGCUUCGGCAGCUUUUCGUCGGCGCUUCAUCAAGGGAUGCACCUUGUAGAGCUGAGAAAGCUCUUCCUGAAUUUUCAUUCCUUCUGCUCUUUUAGCCUUUAAUUGACUCUGCAAUUGAAGCUGGCGCUCAGAGGUUUGGGCUAAAGUUGAUUCGGCUGCUGCUAACUCGUCUUUAAGGGUUGAAAUCCGCUGUUGUAAAGCCGAUUUUUGAUUGGCCAAAGUCUGAUCCUUAUGAUUUACCUCAAUAAUAGGGUCAGCUAUUUCAGGGAUAUUCCUCUUAAAGUGAUCAAUGUGAUGAAAAUGUUGAUCUAAAGAUAAAAGAUCGGCACCCAAAGAUUGUUGCCGAGCCAAAAUAGAAGAAAGUUGAGACGCCAGAGUCUCUACAAAAUAUUUAAUACUAGAAGUAAUAUCUGUUUGAUCGGCCAAAUCGAUUAAGAGAGCGUACAGCCGAUCAAGUAGCUCCAGAUUUUGAGCUAAACAGGGGGGACCAUUGCUAUAUAUUUUAAGACAUUCAUCAAAUUUACGUUGAGUGUCCGAUGAGACAAUAAUAGUCGAAGAAUCAUUCCCCUCAUUGGAACUGGGACUUGAAACCAGUAAAGAAUGAAGAGUAGCAGUUAGAGAAUCCUCAGGAGCAGAAGGGGAAGUCCCAUGAGUUGGAGGAGGAGGUAUGGUGCUUGUUUCUCCAGAGCCUUGCGCUUCUCCAGAACCUUGGUCGACAGGUACACUUGCUUUGUCAUCCCUUGUAAUUGGGUUUGGGGCAGAAAUAGGUGAUAUAGUUUCACCUGGUGAUGGCAUCGUGCUCGCCUCUGCAACGUCUGCCUUAUUUUUUUCCAUACCUCGUUUCUUUUCAAGACAAGCUUCCCGGCGAAGCUAUCUAUCCAUUUGCGCCUUCAAAGAAGAAGCAAAACGAGCUCUUGAAUUAUUUUUGGGAGAAGACUGUUUUAUUAAAAGAAUGAUAAACGAGUUGAUCAAAUAAUACGAGUUAAAGUGACUAAUCAAAUAUACAUACCUCAAUCUCAAUGGGCUCAUUGGGAACUGAGUCUUGUUUGGAAGCAUCAACCGAAGGCGUUUCUUCGGAAAUAGGAGCCGAAGGCAUUUCUUCAGCUUUUUUCUUUGAUACAUCGGCCGACGCAAUACCUUCGGCAUGUGUAGAAUAGGACCUUUUAGCAAUUGACUUACGCCGCUUUGGAGGCGGCAGAGGAGUAGAUUGAACGGUCUCAAUCAGUCUUUUUUUUGAAGCUAAGACCGAUGAAGAAACAGGAAUUGACUGCAGGAAAAAAAAAUAAGUAUUGAAAAGAAAGUUAAAAUAAAGGUGAGUACAUUACAGAAGAAGAAGGCCUGACCUCAGAAGCUUCUUCUUCUCUUGAUAAUGAGACAGGAGGAUCAACUGAAACAAGUGGAUGAAUAGUUCUGCGGAAUGCCCGAAGAAGAGAAAGGUCGAGAGUACGAUCAGUAAAAUGAUCCCAAAUAGUAGCAUAGCCGGCAAGAGCAACUCCUGUUUAGUUCGGCCUGAAGCUCACUAAUUUAAAGAAGCGACGAAGGCGAUUUCCCAUAGCUGAAAUCUUAUCAGCUUCGGCUAUACUUUUAGUAGGGGGUCGAUGAUCGGCUGUAUUAGUUGUAAAAAAUUUGGAUGGAGCGGGAAUCGGCUGAACAAAUCCAAACUGACGGGCCACAUACUGAGGGGAAUAAACCUCAGUGCUUGGUAAUUAUUUUGAGUGCGAUUUUAACCCCGCAUGAAGAUCUCUUGGAGCGAAAUAAGAGUACCAGACCUCUGAGUAUUCACUGGCGCGAGAAGAGGCCAAUUCACCUUGUAUAGCUUCAAACCGGGCAAGGAACCAGGAAGGACCGGUAAGACGGUCAGCAAAGGAAGCCCAAGAAAUAGCCGAUUCAGGACUCGGCUCAUAAAAAGUUUUAAAAUAAGUAAGAAAGUCAGAGGGUUGACCCAGAGUCAUCGCUGUGGACAGCCGAGAGCUAACACAUAAGAAUCAAAUUGAGCAACCGAAGUCGGAUUAAAAGGAGAUUGGCACAAAGCGGGAAUAUAAAAUUGUAAAAAUAUUUGAAGAAAUCAGAAAACACCGCAGCCAGAACUGAUGGGAAUACCAUCUCCAGAAGCCAGUAUUUUAAUAGAAUCAAAAAUUUCUCUAUAAACAAAGGCAAGAAAGUAAGGCCCUAGAGCUAAUCUAUCGCCGUUGGACAAACCAACGGCGAUUGGAACAAAGUCACGAUUAAUUUUCUGUGAACGAGUACAGAAGAAAUUAUGGCAUAACCAAUAAAGGAGGAAUGUCGUAUGUUCGUUCUUAGUAACGGGAGCAGGGGAUUCACUCGCGAAUUUGCGGAUGAACCUGGAGUAAGCCAAGUCAUUGAGGUCUAAACGGUCCUCAAAAUCAGAUACGCCGUCAGGAUUAUAAGACAUAGAAACAGUAACGCCAUGAGGGCGCAAGCUAGUAAUAGCGGCCACGUCAAAAAGAGUGGGGGUAAGAGGUUCUCUUUUGAAAAGAAAAAUAUUAGAAGCAGGGGACCAAAAACAUAGAGCGGCGGCUAGAAGAAGAUUAUCGGCAAUAGGAGGAUGCCGAGACAAUUGAAUAGCUUCAUAUAAUCCAAUCUCUCACCAAAAGUCACCAAAGGCGGCUUCUACUCGAGCUAACUAGGUUAAAUAUGCCUCUGAAGUACUUGGCCAGGUUCGAAGACUCUUCCCUGUUGAAGCAGAAGAGUAUCAAGACUGAAGAUGAAUAGCUUUUCUCAAGGGAAGGCCAUCGCUAGAAAAUCGAUAGGGGCUAGCACUUCUGUAAGAGAAGAACCCAAAAUAAAUCUAGAGGGGUCUGAGUCGACGAAGGGUUUAUGCAUAGUAUAAUCCAGGGAUGGAUGAGAAGGAAGAGGCGGAACCAACGCCAUUAGUUGAAAAAGGAAAAGAGAAAAAGUCAAGUGAAAAAUAAAAUCGGAGAAGAUGAAAGAAAGGGAAGCGAAAGAAAAGUUUCCUAGAAGACGAAGAAGAAAUAGAUGAGACAAAAAGAAUAAAAAGCUUGGAGAAGAAGAAAGGCCGUCGUAUCGAACCGUCGCGUCGAAGCGAGUUUCGAGGUCGGCUUUAAUAAUGAAUAGACGGCGGUAAUUAAGAUGACCUAGUUAAUGCCGCAGAUGAGACAAAAUGAAAAUUGAGAUCGGGCCGUAAGAAAGAAAAUAAACGGCUAAUAUUGAACCGUACAGAGGGNCUUAGGAUUGUCAUAAGUGAGAGCCCCUGGCCAGGGUCUUUCCUCUCUGGCCAGGUGGUCACUCGUUAUAACGCCGUCGGAACUCCGUUGGCCAGGUACCGUCUGCUCUAGCCAGGGGUUCGCGCAUAAUCGUCACUCUCUGGCCAGGGCGCGUCCCUCUAUGGCCAAGGGCUUGCAACCAAAUAGCCCAAGCGUCGCUCUCUGGCCAGGGACGAGCCCUCUCUGGCCAGGGAGACUCGGUUUUGACGGGUCUGGCCCGACAAGGUUAAAAGCUUAAAACCCUCUGGGUGGUCGUCGGACAAUGUUAUCUCCCAGAUAUACUGGGUAGGUGACGAGCGGAUAGGAAUCAAGAGACGAGCGUUGUCCAGUGCGAUGUGGGAACUGUCUGUUCUUCUUCUUCUUCCUCGUUCCUCUUCUUCCUUCCUUUUUCUUCUUCAAACUCUCGAUGAUCAGGUGAACCUUUUAGAAGGAGUGGGUUUGAAGAAGUAAUCACGAACCUCCAACUUGAACCUCGAACAGUUUCUCUUCUAGAAGUAGGGAACCUCGAGGGUAACCUCGUAGAUUCUUGCACAAGAUCGACGUUAAUUAAGGAGAUCUGAAAGCCUUAACUUCCAAGCAUCGUGGUUAAAACGUUGGGUUGUUGAGGUUGACGUGGGGCUAAUUAGAUGCCCGUACACAGUAGAUCCCGAUAACCCGGCUUUAAUCAACCAAAUCUUGUAAGGAACCUGUCAAUUUAACAAGCUUUGUGAUGUCAAUAUCUAGAGAAAACCUCGAAACCUUUUUUAUUUUAUGGAACUCUACUCAAAAUCGGGAGAUCAGAGUAAUCAAUUACUCCAAUUAGAACAUCAAUUCCGUUAUCAUUACGGGCACAUCGUUAUGCGAGUUAUGAAAAUCCCAUGAUUCUAUCGAGCACCUGUUUAGGCAAGCCAGUUAGCUUCCUCGUGCGUUUUUAAGCCUCCCUAAUAGGCUCGUUUUUUUACUCUUUAAUAGUAAUUUACUACUUAAUUCCUAGUAAUUAAUUUUUUCGUACGUCUACGAACAAUCUACCUGAAUAACACUUAAAAUCUUACGAAUUUUACGGUUACAACGUAUAUCAUUUUAAAACCCGGAGAUACAUCAUCUGUCUUACUUACACACUAUAUUUUAAGAUCAACUGUGUCUUUGAUUCUAGGUAUACAUAAGCUUUGUACUUUGGAACGAAAUUACGUAACAUCGACUAUUAACGGUUAACAGUGUAAUCCCUAGGUUGAGUUUGGUGCCGGAUCUCUCCGAACUGCUUAAUCUGAUAUUGUCUCUAACUCGGUGUCCUGUAUUUCUCCUUCACCCGGGUUCGAUUUGAUUUGGUUCGAUCGUUUAGGAAAAUUAAUGUUAUGCCUUGUACUUAGGCCGUAUUAAUGGUACAGCUACGAGUUCACAGUAUUUCUACCGUGAUUCGUUCACACACGCAACCUCGCAGUGAAACUGUGAAACCUGAUCUAGGAACCGUGCGCUGCACUGGCACGGUACACUCUCCGUACUCUCAUGUCAUGAACUCUGCCACUUUCACGAGCGAUCGGUAAACUCUAGUAAGCGUGUACGACCGCUCCCAGCGAGGAAUGUUCGGCGGUGAGGCCUCAAUACACGACGUAGUUUGUUGAAUAGAAGCGAGCACGCUAUAACUCUUCGGAUGCCGCACGUUUACCCUGUCUUUGUUUGGUUCUCAUGUCUACAACCCGAUGGUGUCUUUAAAGAAUCUGCCGUGUAUCGACCUGAUGGAAACCAUCCAGGAAUUACCCUUGUACUUUUAGCUGUGCCCCACUCAAACCAACUCUUAGUGAUGAUUUAUCUCUCCUCGUCGACCUAAUGACAAAGUGGCGGUGAAGACGACGAUGAUGUCGAAUAAACCUGACCACCCAUGUGUAUGUCUCGUACAACAUUCGAUCUUACUGUAACGAAUGAACGUGAGUAUAUUUGUUACAACGUUACUAUUUCUUAUUAGGAGUAUUAAAGUAAUUCGUUUGGUACUGUAAUCAAUAGCGAUUCAUCUCUAGUCUAGGCAACGUACUGUUUUAUUAACACGUAAUGUAUUUACGGUACAAUUUUAACGAUUCAUUAUAAAAUCGAUUAAACGUUGAAUAGGAUAUUAUUUACUUUUAAUGAGCAAUAUCGAUAACGAAAACUGUAUUAAGUGCUUCAUUUUGUUAAAUAAAUUUUAACUUCUCUUUUAAAACAUCCAGAAUAUUUAAUCAAAAUAUUGGCAGUAGAGAUAAUCAAGCCAGUUUAAUUGGGGAGUUAGAAUAGUUCAAUCCGAAGUAGAGGCCUCUUCGGUCUCCCUCGUACGUCAGCUCCUACGAUUUUCCGGGUUUGGAUUGGGUUUUUUAAAUUUGACAGACAAUCCUUAACCAAUCCAGAGAUCACAUAAAGAUCAACUUAAUCCUAUUUAUAAAAUUAAAUCAAUUUAAACACCAAAUGAGGAUUAACUUAAUCUUCUUUGUAAAAUUAAGUAAUUUCUAUUUAAUUAAAUUUAAAUUUAUAAUCGAUCUCAUUAUAAGGAUUAAUAUAAUCUAAAUCUAUAUAGUAAUAAAUGCGUAAUAUAUAUACUGUGAUUCCUCAUCGAGCUCAAGACUUUGUUCUUUCGGAACCUGCAGUCAUGGCUCAACCUCUCUCUCGCAAAUAUCUUUUAUUCUAGAUCUUCACACACUCUCUAAGCCCAAAUUAAGAAAAGAUUAAAUCACCUAGAACAAAAUAGAUAUAUAAAAAAACUAAAAGAGAGAAAACAUUAACAUAGUCGAUAAAUACUCAAAUACAAUUUUUAAGCUAAACUGUAAAAAUAACGCUUUAAAAUUAUGACCAUAGCCUAAAUCUCAUCAUCCACAAUCUCGCCUAACGUUUAAAUUCUUCUCGUGAAAAUAUCAUUUUUAAGUUAAAGUGCGGAAGCAACGCUUUAGGGGUGCGGUCAUGGCAUAAGUGACGUCAACUAUAGUUUCGUCUAACGUAUAAGUUCUGAUCGUCAUCUAAGAUUUGUGACAAUUUAUCUCUACAACAGAUACAGUAUAUGUUCGAUUAUAUAAGAUAAAUUAAACCUAUACGUGCUAUUACCCCUGAUGAAACUUAUUUUAGGAUCUCUAGAGACGUCUAUCUAACUCCGAGCAAUUUACAUAUCGAAUACUAAACAUACAUUAGUAAGCAUAACGUUAAAUAAUAAGAAAUUUAAAAUCACCACGUCAAAAAUAGGCUAGUCAUUCUAAAUGAUUUGGUAAUGAUUAAAGAUUCUUUAGGGUAUCAAAGAUAUAAACAUCUUAGCUUGAUAUAGAUAUAUAAACACAUCUCUAUUCAAUUGAGAUGUUGGUUUUCCUAACGUUAGAAGUACUAAAGAUUUGGGAUUUGGGAUUCAGGAUUAUUCUUUUAUUUAUUUGUUCUUUUAACUUUUAAAAGAACCUUUGGUUUUGGGGAUUGUAUAACAAUUUAAUUUCUAAACUUUCUUUUUUUUUUGUGAGUUUAAGGAGGUUAAUGCUUCAAUCUUGGUCAUUUCACUGGUUUAAUCUCGUUGUUUCUCUAGUUUGCUUAUCUCAAGUCUCAUUUUCUUGCAUGGGUACCUGCUAAGAGAUCUUAGGCUUCUGUACCGCGAGGUGGGUGCGCCGCUGCUUCUCCCUCGCACAUUGCGGGGCCCCGGAUAAUAUUUUCAGAAAAAUUUAGCUAUGGUUAAAACUUUAGUCUCAAUGUCUUUUGCACGGUAAAAAAAAAAAUAAAAAAUUGGACCGGGUGCACUGCAUGUCUGGGCGGUAUUUAUGUUUCAAAGAGACAGGUGAGCCUGUCUCAGAUGAAACAUAAACGUGCCGUAUGGUUGCUAUGUAGUCCUAGAGUUGGUGUUGAAUGUAAAUGGUUAGUUGUUGGUUAAAUACGCUAUGUAAACGUAUGUCGAUCGCUAGGAAUCUUUACCACGUACAGAGAUUUGUGAGGAAUCCUUGUGAGGAAUCCAUGACCUACUACGUUACGUGUUAUGUUGUUCGUAGUAUAGAUUCUCACGAGGGGUGGACCUUAAAAGCCUUCGAAAUAAAAAUUUGAGAUUAAGUUAGUAAGUGUUUGGUAAGCUUUUGGAAAAUUUUAACAAAAGGUGAGCUUUUGAGAUAAAACUUUUGGCUGAUGCAGCUCCCCAUCUUUUGGUGCUACGUAUUUAGGUAUUUAUGUUCUUGAUAUAUAGAUAUUUUGGUUUAGGUGCCUAGGUGUUUAGAGAUUAGAGUACGUAGUCAUUUAGUAGUUAAUUUUGGUCAAGUGUUUGUAAGUUUGUAAGUAUCACUAGUAGAUUGACUUGAUAAAUAAAUAAUUUGAUGAUUUACGUCCUUACUUUAUAUUGGUCCCACUGCCAGCGAUGCCGUUCGAUCGAUCUAGCAGGAGAGCAGCGCGGGUUGUGGUUGAGGAACGGGCUUAGUGGAUCCUUUACCCCCCACCCUUUGGCGUUAGUUCCAAAGGGUCACCCAUGUUGUCUUGGUGCUUCCGUUCAGCAUUAGUGGCCUUUGGUUCCCUCCAUUCUAUUUGUUUCAUACUUACGACAUUAUGUUUUCCCUUGAUGUCAUCAAUGUCGUCUAUACUAUUCUUCGUUCAUUAUUUAUACGAUGACAUAUCUUUUGUUACGUUCAUACGGAGUUCCAUUGAUUGGUUUUUGACAUGGGUUAGAACACGGACGAUAUAGCCAGGCGUCUGGAGUUCGCGACGGACAGUGAUUAGACGUGGCUGGACUAAGUAGGCGGGUGUCCUGCUGGGUAAGCCUAUUCAUGUGGAGGCCAGCCACCGGUUUGGCUGGUCCACACAGUACGGGGCCUCGGCGGUUAAACCAGCCAAGCCCGUGCGCUUGUCUGUGGCUUGCCUGUCGUGGAGGGGACAGGCGGGUUCCGAGAUAGUUGUACAUAUAAUGUUCAUUCAGUUGUUCUUCUAACGUUCUAUAUAUUCCAAACGUGCUCCCGUUUGUUGUUGUUUGAGUGUACACUUUCGUAGCUUUGAUUGAUUCGUAAAUAAGUGUAUGUACAGUAAACUAAUGUAAACUUAGUUUGUGUUCAUUAGAUAAUGUAAAUGUAAGUAAGAAAGGUAAGUGUAAAUGUGGUGCAAUCGGAAAUUGGUUUAUUUUCCAAAAUGUAGUAAAAUGUAAUGAUCAAGUUAUAUGUUUUCAACUUACAUGUAUCCCAUACGGAUACGAGACUCCCGGUGAUAGAUGCCGCGAUCGGGGAACGGAGCUAGGAGGCGGCGGGGCGAGCGAGUGCCUAGACAUCCCAAUCACCCUUACUCUUGAUCUUGCUUCAAGGAUCACCCAAGCCGGUGGCUGACACGGCUAAGCGGGUGAUCCAGAUAAAGUCCAUAUACAUAAAGUUAUUUCUAUCUAUGGCUUGGUAGAUUACGUUAAUGAUUAUGUUACGGACGUUUUGUUGACAGUUGUCUAUCUAUCUAUUAGUUUAUGUACUUAGACUACGUACGUACAGAUAAAGAGUAAAAUGAACCGGAAAUGGGUUAGAAAGGCCCCAAGUAGUUCAGGUGGGGUUUGAGUGUAGAGUGUAUAGGGUAGAUGGCCCUAAUCGUAAACUUUUACGGGGGGCUCCCUAGGUAGGGCAGAUGGCUCCUUCCGUGUACCGUGAUAGUGGGCUCCCUAGAAGCGGCCCGUGAGAGUGGGCACCACAGAUGACAUUAUAUGCUUUUUAAAACCCAACGUUACGAUUGAAAGUAGACCUUCUAGCUUCACUUCAAACUUAACCUAUACGUAGUAAGGGCUCACUAAAAUCUCCACACCCUUACUCAAGACUUACAUUAACUCAUAAAGUUGCAGUUAACCCGCGCUUUACCUGUGCUAACUCUUAAAAACCUAACGUUGCGAUUGAAACUUAUUUAUUCAGUUUCACUCCGUUCUCCUACUCAACAUCAUAGGAGCUUAGUUAAACCUACGCACCCUCACUUGAUCUACUCGUUUUUUCCGGAAGUUGUCGACGACGACGCUACAUCAUACAACCUACACCCCAUACAACAAUUAGAACUAGUUUUACCAGUUCUAUUACGAUUUUACCAUUAAUUUACGAAGGUUUAAUUUAACCAUCGAACACCUCCACAUAAGCGUACACAACCUUCACAAACCUACUUAAGCCUCACUCGGCCUACACUCUUUCCCCGACGGUUUCGACGACGACGGUCGUUCCUGACUUGACAUUUGGACGUCACAUUCCAUGGCCUGAAGAUUUUGAUACUUCAAUGCCACAUGUAAGCUAACCUCUCGGUAAUCUUACCAAGACCACUUCAAGCCACUUCAAGACCUCGUUAGCCCGCAAAGCCACGCGUAUCCGCGCUUUUGCCUUGGGCUUUCCGAUUGAACCCGGCACUCGAUUUAGGCCGUAAUCGCUCCUACCUUUCUACUACUUUUGUACAAACUUUUGUACAAACCUCUCAGAGCCAAGCUAAACUCUGCUUAGCCUCCAGUUUGCUUGCUUUUGCCCGCUUUUGCCUCGCUUUUGCCUGCUUCGACUUUUAACCGAUUCAGACCCGACCUCCAGAGAGACCCUGGCCAGGGUUCAUCUCUCUGGCCAGAGAGUCUCUGGCCAGGGAGUACGUCUCUGGCCAGGGGCUUGGGGCUUUUACGGGUCAAGCCCGACAACGUUCUUCUCCGAACAACUCCCUGAAUAUACGUUAACACCGUACCCAAUUCACAUAUCUCUCCCAAUCUUGUGGAGAGAGAGAGAAAGGGAGUGGCAAAGUUGGGGUUUGGGGAGAGAGAGAGAGAGAUUUGCUUCUUCCUUCUUCUCUUCUUCUUCUCCUUCCUCUUCUUCUCUUCUUCUUCUUCUUCCUCUUCUUCUAGUUCUUUUCCUAGAAGUAGGAGAGGAAGCAGAAGGAGCGCGAACCUCGUUAGAUCUCUCCAUUCGAAACAAUGGGAGAGUACCAUCUAGAGAUCUUUAUUCAGAUUAACGAGAUCUUUACCUAAAUCAUCCGAGGAAACUACGAUCUAUCCACAAAUAACAUACUUAGCCUCUAGCUAAAUCACCAAAAACGGCAUCAGCGUUUGAUCCCGAGUUUUUACCCUAAAAACAUUUAUCUACCCAAACUAGAGUAAAUUGGGAGACAUUUGGAUUAACCCCUAUAUUGCUUGCGCAACCACACGAGCCAAGCUGUUAGGCUGCUCGCAUGCGCUUCAAUAAUUGCUUUGUCAGACAAAACCAUGUCUAUCGGCGUCGUGCGCUCUAUUCGGAGGUUUUUAGUACUUUCGCCUAGCCCUCGUAGCACCACAGCACCUUAUUUGAGGUCUUAUCUGCCUAGCGCCUAACCACCGGCAAGCCCACCAGCGCGUUCUCAAGCUCGGCUUGGCCCAGUGCCCUCGGCGCCCUUCGGCUAACGUUCACAGCUGCUCGUUAGCCUUGCGCUUAAUUCCACCCAACACAAAUGGCUUCGCUGAUCCAGCGGGAAAUACAGAUUCUACUAAUUCUUAGGUGCAACUACGUAUACUUACAUUUACUCCGUAUAUCUAAUACGUAUAUUUACAUUUAUUACGUACAAUUAUUAUACUACAUUUACUAUACAUAUUCACGUAACCUUUAUAUACGAUCCACGUACACACAUACCUGAACUAUACUGUUCAUCCUAUAGUUCAUCUAGCUCACCGUAAUUAGAUCACAAUUAUUUAUAUCCAGCUUGUAUCUACUGUAACUUGGAUCGCAACAACUUGGAUCCUAUUUGUUGCUCACCGUAGAUUGGAUCACAAUUUCUUGUAUCCAACUCAUACUUGGAUCUCAGCCCUAGAUCCACACACCGGAGAUUGGAUCACAAUUUCUUGUAUCCAACUCAUACUUGGAUCUCAGCCCUAGAUCCACACACCGUAGAUUGGAUCACAAUUUCUUGUAUCCAACUCUUGACUUGGAUCUCAAUUCCAUUUUGGAUCCAACACUUUAACUCCGUAAUCUGGAUCUCAGUCAACCUGGAUCCCACCUUUCACGUAACCUGGAUCUAUCCAGUUAUCAUAUCCCAACCUAUACCUGGGAACUGAACACUUCAGCUAAGACCUUAGGGUCAUGAACACUUGAGUUAUCAAGAACCUGGCGCCCACAUACGCCGCUACAAGGAGAGGGUGGCCUUUCUUGAAACUCCUAAUACUGAUUCGUUCUUGUUUCUCGCGAUCCCACCUACGCCAUUUAUAAGGAGAGGGAUAGCCCCUAGAACCGAUACCCACAUGCGCCGAUACAAAGGAGGGGGUGACCGACUAGGGACUGGUGCCACGUGCCUGGAAGCCCGCCUGGCAACCCGCUACACCAAGAACCGAACGUCCGACUCCACGUACGCUGUCCUAGGAAGUGGAGCUCGGCCCGUCUCGCGCCUAAUAGGCGACAACUAACUGAGCUCCGGCUCAGCUCACCGAUCGACCUUAUACCAUCUAUCUUGGAACUCCCGAUCACCAUUUACACUAUUGGAUUCCAUCACCUUUGGAAUCUCAACCUACUAUACUCGAUUCUAAUCGCUCUAACUAACAUCUUAGUUAUUAAGAUGAUCAACAACGUAUAUAAGGACAACGUAUAUCGUACUGUAGUAACGUCAACACUCCGUUUCGUUCCAUUUCAAUCAACGUACAAAUACUAUAUGUAUAGAUAGACAAAUAACCUGAUUGAACAUAAACGGAGGGAACCUGGACAACCAGCUCGAGGAGGGAACCCACCGGCAUGGGUGACCCUUGGUACCUCAACCAAGAGUGGGGUGCAACAAAACCCCAAAAUGUCCAAGCGUGCACUCGCCGCGCCGCCGCGCUCCGUUCCCGCAUCGAGGUAUCUAUCGCGGGAUGGGGGUCUCUGGUCUCGAUCGUCAUGGGGCAGCUGCAUCGAAUCCCCAUAUCUUUUACUUUCGUUCGUUUACAUAGUUUAACAUUAGUUAUUUACAACAUUAUUGAAUUAACGUAAACCUCCAACUUACACUACAUUUUACUUAGAUUACACUUACGAACAUUAUAGUAUCCUACACAAAUACAACUAACUAUGGAAGGACUACGUUAAGACAAACGACUCAUGACAAGGACCAACCUUGGAAACAUAACAUGAACAACGCUGCGGAUCCUGCAUGUCCCCUUUGAGACAGGCAAGCCGCCAGACAGCCGCACGGGCUUGGCCUGGUUUAACCCUCGCCAGAGCCCCGCACUGUCUAUUUCACCAUAGUCUCGUAUUUCAUCUUUUACCCUUUUCUUUCACCAAAUCUGUCUGGAUCCUCUGGAUCCUAUCAUUUGGUAUCCUCUUAUUCCAAGCACUCUCUGCUCCUGAAUGCUAAACACCGCUUUCUAUUUACCUAACCCAACACAGCAUUUGGAGAUUCUGCCUAUAAUCUCCAUCUGAGCUCCACACCAAAUAAGAGUCGGCUCCUACAAGUACAACCGCAUGCUGUUGUACUUUGGAUCACUACUCUUAUCUACGGGAGCGCACUGAAAGCGGACUAACCGAAAACUCGGCAACAAUCACCAGAGCACAAGCUGGGUUCAACCAGCUCUUGAUUAGCUCAACAGCACAAAGUCCUUCGCUACCGUGGCGCAUCCGCUAGGAGUAGGUCUAGCCGCGCCCUUCCCUGUUCACUACAAGGAUCCGUUCGGCUCCGCUCGCCUCUGGGCUACGAGGCGCUCGUUCACUUAUGCGAGUACCCGUAUCACGUCGCUGUUCUCCUCGUCUAGUUCCUCGAGGUACUUAACAACUGUGCUGCCGGACGCCGCCGACGUGGCCAUCGUCGCACGGCACAUCGCUGUCCUCAGCGCUACCUAAGCCCCCGCCAUCGGGGACCAAGACAUCUUAACCUCCGCCUCUUUCUUGCCUGAAACCGCCGGGAUUAUUGGAAGUCCUUUAAACUAGGCGGAUGAAAGCUACCUCUCUUAUAGCUGGGCACCUAGCACCUCUACACCUAACUGAGGUACCUUUGCGAGAAACUCCUCGAUAUGUGGAACCUCGCCCUGUUCCACGGGGAUCGACACGUAACGAACUUCGUUAGUCGUUUCCGCACCACCUUUCCGUUAGCUGCCCUAGCUAGCGGAUCAGAAGGAGGAUACCGCACCCUACUUAAAGCCCCUAAUUACAAAAGAUGCAUGAAGGGGCUGUGACUCUCCUCUUUCGAAGCCCUGUUCAAGUCCUUCGACGCCGUUCCUCUGGCGAGGCACUCCCUUAUACUUGCCCUUAAGAGGGCAUAGCACUUAACACAGGGCUUACACCAUGCCCUACUGUUCCUAUUUCGGCUAACCAAGGACGCACCUAAAGCUGGCCUCUAAAUAUCCUCCCACGUUUAGAAGGUCGAGUGUUGGAAACGCCUCCACAACCUAGCCCGAAACACCCGUCUCGUACCGCUCCGAAAGCACGCACUCCUCGCGCUUAGAGCAUCCGUACUCGCUCCUCCCCGCUCCGGUAAUAGCUCACCAAGCCCACCAGUCAGCUCAAGGUCUGUGGCGAGCUCCAGCAGGAGAUGGGCUAGGAGGAGGCCUACACACUAAACACCGCCAAGGGUGGUCCGCGCCGCUACACGCGACGCACUACCUGCUACAUAGGCAACACCUGUCGGUCCGGUAUACGCCCUGCUCACGGGCGCUCCACUCUCAGUCCGGAACUCCGGUCGCUGCCGGGUAAGGAGAGACCCUGUCGGACAUCCACACGGGAUUGUCAUAUUGAAACGUUGCUCAUGAAAAAGAAUAAGUUAGCUUGUUUCUCGUUUUCAAUUAAUAUAACAAGUUAAUGCGGGUUUCUCACAUUUAUACCUUGCUUAGCAACAGUUGGAAGUGUUCUUGGUUUUAACCUUGUUGUAAUCUGAUGAGUCAACGCGGGAUUGACACAAUGAAACGUUGCUCAUGAAAUAGAAUAAGUUAGCUUGUUUCUCGUUUUCAAUUAAUAUAACAAGUUAAUGCGGGUCUCUCACAUUUAUACCUUGCUUAGCAACAGUUGGAAGUGUUCUUGGUUUUGGUCUUGUUGUAAUUUGAUGAGUCAACGACACUCCAUGGCCUGAAGAUUUUAAUACUCCAAUGCCACAUGUAAACCAACCCUCUGGUAAACUUACCAAAGCCACUCCAGGGCCACUCCAGGCCUUCGUAAGCCCGCAAAAGCCAUGCGCAUCCGCGGUUUUGCCUUGGGCUUUCCGAUUGAACCCGGGACUCGAUUUAGGCCGCAAUCGCUCCUACUUUUCUACUACUUUUGUACGAGCUUUUGUAUAAACCUCUCAGGGCCAAGCUAAACUUCACUUAGCCUCCAGUUUGCUCGCUUUUGCCUGCUUUUGCCACUUUUUCGACUUUUAAACCGAUUCAGGAACUUCCGACUAAAGACCUGGAAGCCCCUGGCCAGAGAGUCAGUUCCUGGCCAGAGAGUCCCUGGCCAGAGAGUGGCGUUCCUGGCCAGGGGCUUGGGGCUUUUACGGGUCAAGCCCGCCAACGUUCGCUCCGUAAUAACUCACUGAAUAUACGUUAACAACGUACCCAAUUCACAUAUCUCUCCCAAUCUUGUGGAGAGAGAGAGAAAGGGAGUGGCAAAGUUGGGGUUGCGGUGGGGAGAGAGAGAGAUUUGCUUUAUCUUCUUUUCUUCUUCUUCUUCUUCUUCUUCCUCUUCUCCUUCUUCUUCUUCUUCCUCUUCUCCUUCUCGAAAGGUAGAAGAAGUAAGGAAGGAACACGAACCUCUCCGAAAUCCUCCAUUCGAAGAACCUUCGAGAAAUUACCACUAAAGAAUCCCAAACCAAUUAUGUGAGAUUCUUACCAAAUCUAUCUUAGGAUCGUACGAAUACUCAUCUAAUUACGUACUUAGCCUCUAGCUAAACCCCAUAAAACGGCAUCAGCGUUUGAUCCCGAGUUUUUACCCUAAAAACAUUUAUCUACCCAAACUAGAGUAAAUUGGGAGACAUUUGGAUUAACCCCCAUAUUGCUUGCGCAACCACGCGAGCCAAGCUGCUAUGCUGCUCACAUGCGCUUCAAUAACUGCUUUGCCAGACAAAACCAUGUCUAUCGGCGUCGUGCGCCUUAUUCGGAGGUUUUUAGUACUCUUGCCUAGCCCUCGUAGCACCACAGCACCUUAUUUGAGGUCUUAUCUGCCUAGCGCCUAACCACCGGCAAGCCCACCAGCGCGUUCUCAAGCUCGGCUUGGCCCAGUGCCCACGGCGCUCUCCGGCUAACGUUCACAGCUGCUCGUUAGCCUUGUGCUUAAUUCCACCCAACACAAAUGGCUUCGCUGAUCCAGCGGGAAAUACAGAUUCGCUCAAUUCUUAGGUACAACUACGUAUAUUACAUUAAUGAUCUACUAUUCCGUAUCACUGCAUUACUCUUAUAUAUACGUAUUAUUACCUUAUAAAUAUACGAACAUCUUAUAUACAAUCGAUUAACGUACCAAUAUACUACGAUCCUCUCCGUACUAUUGUAUCAUUCGUAUUACAUUUCUUAUGUACAGGUACUAUAUUUACGUUCUACUGCGUACAUCAACUAUGAUUUAUAUGCAUACACUUGACAUCUUAUGAGCUAUACUGUUUAUCCUACAGUUCAUCUAGCUCACCGUAAUUGGAUCACAAUUAUUUGUAUCCAGCCUGUAUCUACUGUAGCUUGGAUCACAACAACUUGGAUCCUAUUUAUUGCUCACCGUAGAUCGGAUCACAAUUUCUUGUAUCCAACUCAUACUUGGAUCUCAGCCCUAGAUCCACACACCGUAGAUUGGAUCACAAUUUCUUGUAUCCAACUCUUGACUUGGAUCUCAAUUCCAUUUGGAUCCAACACUUUGGUCCAGAAUUCCAGUUUUCGAACUUUUUAGGUCGGAAAAUAUUCUACAACCCUCCACCAAGUGUGGAAAAGCUCGAAAUACAUCCAAGCACUCGAACCUCGCAAUUUGCAGAGGUCCAGUGUGUUACAUAAACGGCUAAGAUUGAACCGUACAGCUGGUCACACCUCGAAUUACGUCUGGUACUGGUAAAGAGAUUUUUGAAUGUGAUUGGAUCGAGAACGACGCCUCGAAUCGCAUUUGUUUUCGAAGCAAUUACAGGAUUUUGGCAGCGAAAAAGGGACGGCUGAGAUGAAAACAUAUCGGGAAGUUAAAAAGCAAACCGUGUCUCAGAUCAUGCCAGCUACCGAAGUGUUACUUCGAAAGCUGCCAAGGGGGCAAUUGUUGAGCCAAUUAGGCGCGGAUGAGAUUUAGGUGCGAAUAUUCCUUCAAAAACGUCCAUUCAGUCGUGUAUCAGGAGCACCAGAAAAGGGUAUCGCGCCAAUUGAAGAAAGUUACGGUAACCGCAAGCGGUUACAUGCGAUUCCGAUCGGCUAGAAGUGGUCCGGAAUAUGAGGAGAUAGUGGCCGAUCGUGUAAAGAGCAAUAACUGACCGAAGGGGCUAUCUAUAAAUAGGGUAAUAAUACCCCAAAAAGAGGUCUUCGCCCCUGCGCACAAAAGACCACUUUUAUUUUUUUGCAUCUUUCUUUCUCGCAUUUACUGUUUUUCCUAGGAGUAGUUCUUGUAACUUAGAUAUUUGGAGUCUGUCUGCCCCAUGGGCAUCACUCCCUUGUAGAAUAUAUUUGGAGUCUGUCUGCCCCACGGGCAUCACUCCCCUGUUCUUGUACUCUUCCAUUCCCUAUUCAAUAGAAAGUCGCGUUCGGCUAUUCGGGCCGAUCAGAUUUUGUGUUGUGCUAGCCAUUCGGCUCAUCUCCCGGCUUAAUUUCCGACUUUUCCCACACAUUCGGCUCAUCCAGCCGAACCGGAGAGUGAAAAGAGCUUUCGAACCCGGCUGACCCGAUCCCUCGUCAGCCGAAUCGCUUGAUCUAUCGAAGGGCGCAAACUUCGAGGGUCACUAUUCCCAGCCAUUUAGCAUCCCGACGCGCUCCCAGAGGAGGAUCGUUAACUAGGUCAAGGGUCGGGGAAUUUCGGCACCGACAAUGAGCUAUCGAUUGACCUUUGAACUCUCCUUCACACCCCUCUCCUUGUUGCUCUCUUGUUGGUUGGUUUUCUGCACAGCACGCAAUCAACGACAGCUAUAGCAAUCAGCCAACAGCAGCAACAUCAGCAGGCUGGCAGCAUUGAGCUGAGAAUUGGGAACUAAAUUAGAUGUGAUUCGAUACUCCAUUUUCGAAAUUGAGAACUUGUAUUUGUGUGGGGCAAAGUUAAGAAUCAUCUUGUACCUUCCUUGAGCUGGAUUAGUAGGCUAAUAGUUCUGAUUUUGGUGUUGAUCGAAGGUGAUGCAUAAUGCUGAUUUUUGGACUGGUUUGGACCAACUUUAGAUUCUAAUAAAAUUCGUUUGAAUUUCUUCUAGGAAUUGAGUUUGGAAGGAUUGGAAGCGAUCUUAACUUCAUCCUCUUAUGGUUAGAAUCUUGUUUGGACCAAUUUGGGGGUAAGAUAAGUGAGAAUUUAAGUUUUCAUUGAGAUCGAAAAUCAAAAAAUUGAUUUCGGCAUUCCUCGCAUUCUUGACUUUUAAUCACUUUUGCAUGAUAAUUUUGUAGUGAUCAAGUGAGUUUUCUGGUGGAUUAGAAUCUUGGGAACACACUUUAGAGUAUGUUGGUGUUCCUGGUUACACCGUGGAUCAACUGGAAUAGCCACAGUAACCUCAAGAACUCAACUACAGCAGCAACCUUGGAGCAGGGACAGUAGCAAGUAUUUUUGAAAAUUAGUUUUGAUUUGGACCUUGUUGAUGCGAUUUGAUGCUUCUAGGGUUUUACUGAAGUAGAGAGGAACCUGCGAAUUAAGUUUCCACUAUUGGUUUGAGAUGAGCAAUGCUGAAUUUCAGUUUUUUCGAACCAAAUCGACGUUUGAUGGAUUUUUUUAUUCAAUUUUUGAUUCAGCUCAAUCCAAUAGGGAUUUAUUGGAUUUUCUUAUAUUUCUUGGUGAUUUGGGACUGAAGGCACGUGACUGCUGAGUUUCGCCUUGAUCUGUGGUCGGAUUCGCUUGCUUGGUGGGUUAAUGUUGACCGAAUACUUCGGAAUCCCUCCUAAGUUGUAGAGAAUUUCAGCAUGCUAUAUUUGUAACUCGAAUUCAUGGAUUUGCUUGUUUUUAAAUGAAAUCUGAAUUUGGAGCAUGAUUUAAAGAUUUUAGAUAAAUGCUGAACUAGGAUUUGAUUUAGGAGAAAACUCAUUAAAACAUACACACCUCAUUUUUUGAAAAGUUAACAGAUUUAAUCUCAGGAGCUGAUUUCUCUUUUGUAUCACAGCUGUUAGUGCAUCAUGAAUACUUAGACUGGUGUAGGUUGAGAUUACGCUCGUGCUAAGAUGUCGAGCUCGUUUUUAUAGUAAAGUUUAGGCUGUUCCGUACAGUCUCUAAGAUCGAUUUAAGAGCCGGAUAUCAUCAUAUCAGAAUGAAACCAGAGGAUGUUUAUAAAACUACCUUUCGGACCCACUCGGGUCACUAUGAAUUCUUGGUAAUGCCAUUUGGGUUGACCAACGCACGAGCGACCUUUCAAUCGGUAAUGAACGACAUUUUUGCGGAGUACCUUAGGAAGUAUGUGUUGGUUUUUUCGACGACAUAUUGAUCUACAACAAGAGUCUCGAGGAGCAUAAGGGACAUUUCGGCAAAGUGCUAGAGACCUUGCGCGAGCAUCGACUCUACGCUAAGAGAUCAAAAUGUUACUUUUGCUAAAGGAAGGUGGAAUAGUUAGGCUAUAUUAUCACCCCGGAGGGAGUGGCUACGGACCCGAAAAGGAUAGACGCGAUGGUGAAUUGGCCGACACCAACUUCCCUUAAGGGUCUAAGGGGGUUCUUCGGUAAAACCGGGUACUAUAGGAGAUUCAUUAAGGACUACGGCAAAAUGAGCAAACUACUAACAGAAUUGUUAAGGAAGGACCAAUUCUGUCAUGCCUCGGGACCCGGCAUAGGCCCGCCCGAGGUGCGCCCAGAUCCGCCAUAUGUCAGCACAUAUAAGGCGUCUACAACAACAGCGGAAAAUAAAACCAAAGAUGAUCUACAACUAGAGAUAUCAGAGCGAGUAUACAUCUAACAUCUAUAACAAAAGUAAAUAAAGCGUAACUAAACAAUAGAGGUAAAACAAAGAGUUAUAGAAAUAAUCCUCUCCAAAAAGGUACAAAAGGGGUGGUCUCUAUACAUGGGUACAACUCUCAACCUCUCCAAAAGAAAACAACGAGAGGUAGACCACCUAUCGACGCGUCCCUCAAAGCAAGCUAGCUCGAGGCAAUUCCCUUUCCGCGGUCCCUAGCCUCUCCCGGCGUGGAAGGCUCUGAAAUAAAAACAUGAAACAGAGGGCGUGAGAACUAUAAUUUAUAGUUCCCAGUGGGCAAUUACUGACCUCAGCUCAAUGCACCACUAGGCCCCAAAAGAAAAGGGUAAGUCCAAAAAGCAACAAUAAUAAUAAAUAUAUUGCAUUUAUGGAAGUAUAAACAAAAUGCUAAGCUACUAUGUUGCAAAUAAACAUGAUGUCAAUGUGUUGUACAUUUACUUUAUCAAAAUGAAAUAUGUCCAAGCAUGACUAAUAUGUCCCAACAUAACGAGCAAGUAGGUAUCAUGAUCCAAUAUAUCAAUAUAUGAUGAAUAUGCUCUAUUAUGGCAGCUAAGUAUACUAUGAUGCAACAAAUAAGACUAUCAUGUAUACUACAUGUCCCAACACUAUGCUAUAGGCAUGUCAAAGUAAUCAAACUACUAAGCCUAUCUAGUAGUGAUUGUCAUUUUCUGGUUCAAUGUCAUUGUUUAAUCAUGUUCUAGGACCUACAUAAAUAUAGUCUAGCUUGUGCCACCUAAGUGUCGGUGGUAGCUCCAGCAUUCCCACUCUAGAAAUGAGUCUAUCUCUCCCGACCCCAUAGGUUUCUCGAUACCGCACAAGCAAGCAUAAGUCGCUAGGCCAAUUCCGGAGUGCUGGCUAGUAGGGAGCGACCCUCAUAAGCGUGUGCGAAUGAGCACAAAUGGCAAGCAAGCGUAGUCAAUGUCUCAAGUGUCCAAUCAUCAUGUCUCUAACAUGGUCAAAGUCACUAGCAUCCCAAAGAUCUAGUUCAAUAUCUCAAGAUGAUGUUCCAAUACUCGCUAUAAUCUGUCACGCCCCGGGACCCAGCAGAAGCCCGCCCGGUGCAUGCCCAGACCCGCCAUAUGUCUAAAACAUAUAAGGCGUCUAAACAAAAAGAUAAAUAAGGCAAGAAGAGAGAGAACAUCUAGCUGUAUCAGAGCAAAGUGUAUCUAUGAGCUACAAUAAAAGAAAUGAACAUAAAGCAGAAAGUCCACUAGAUAAAAGCAUAAAGUAGUACAACUGAAGUUCCAAAAUAAGUGCUAGAAAAGUACAUAGGUGGUCUCUCUAUACAUGGUGCAAAAUCUCUUUCUCUCUCUAAUACAAUAAAAGAAAGAGCAAACCACCUAAGCUCAAAAGUGGCUCCCCGCUAACUAGCUACGCGACUCCCUUACUGCGAUCCCGUGCCUCCGCCAGUGCCGAAGGCUCUGAAAUAAAACCAUAAAACAGGGGGCGCGAGAACUAUUGAAUAAUAAUUCCCAGUGGGCAAUUACUAGCUUCAGUGAAAUGCAUCACCAGGCCCGAACUAAAAAGGGGUCAGUAAGCAGAUAUAAACAAAAGCGGUAUGUACGAUAAGUAAAUAAGCAUGAAUAUUUGCUACCACAUGAUAUCUCUACUUAGCAUGAUUUAGCAUAAGUAAGAAAAGCUAUUCUCGUAUGAAUGUACCCAAGCAUCGCUAGUAUGAUGUCCAUAAGUCAAAUAGUAAAGAUGUCAUUAUUUACUAUUCUAAUCAAAUGUCCACAUGAUAUGAUGAAUGCUCAAAAUCAAAUCUGAAGAGACCCGCCCGAAGGCUGUCUGGCCUUAAGACCCACCCGUAGGCUGUCUGGCCGGUGCCGAGCCUAAUGGCCCCGUGGUAGUCAACAUCCCCACUCUAGGAAUGAGCCUUUCCCACGGCAAUCCACUUCGGUGUCUAAUCCCGCACGGCGAAUAUGUAUCGCGAUGGCCAUCUCCGGAGUGCCGGCUUGUAGGGAGCGACCGUCACAAGCAUGUGCGAAUGAGCACAUGCAAUGGCAAGUAACAAAAGAUCCGUCUAAAGUACCAAGUCCUCAUUUCUAAUAACAUGAAAUACGUCACAACUCUCUUAUAGGCCUAUCUCUAUGUCAUCAUGUCUAAAACAUGAAAAGUAGUAGAUGUCCAUGGCCUAUCACUAAGUCUCAAUGCAAUAGUCUCAUAGUUUGCUAGUCCAAGUGCCCCUUUAUGACACUUUCAUUUACUAAGUCUAAGCUUAAACCAAAUGUUCAUAAAUGUAUAGUUGAGCCAUUUUAAACAUAUAAGGCAUGUUUCCAAACGGCUAGUGCGACACUACUCAAAUGCAUAUAACAAUAUCCAGAAUACUCUACUAUAUAGAGUAAAAAUUUUCUUACACAUAAGACAUGCAUUUUAAGUGUUCUAAAAUUCACAUAAAUUUCAUUUAGCAUAGAUUUGCAUUUAAAAUGACGUUACGAUGAGUAUAGAAAGCAUGGGGGCCAUUUUGCCCUGUUUUCAUAAAGCCAAACCCACCACAACUCUUGCGCUCCUUCGUUUGCUCCAACGAAGGUGCCCACUAGUCUCCUAGCACCCUAAAGAUGUAGGAACAAGGGUUAAACGAACCUUACGAUCAACUCUAAGCUCAAUAAAUAAGCAACAUAGGCUAAGGUGGAAAAACUCACCUCAAGUGAAGAAAUCCUCUCUCAAGUUCCAAAUGGGAGUUAGAGUUCUUCAAAUCCAACCUAAAUAAAGGUUCUAAGCCAAUCAAUUGGGUCUCAAAGCCCUCUAAUCGAAAAUCCCCAAAAAUAAACCCUAAAUCCCAAAAUCUAGGGUUUCUACCAACAAAAGCACCAAAGCUAGAAUCUAGAGGAAGAAAAUCAUCAACUAACCUCCAGGAUGCUCCAAACCAAGGUCAAAAUCCUCUAGGGUUGAAGAUUGAUCCACAACCAAGCUCCAACCACAAGCUCUAAGCCUCCAAAGGUGAGAAAUGAGAGAGAGGAAGAUGCUCCAAGGCCUCCAAGCUUGCUCUCCUUCAACUCCUUCUUCUUCUUCUCCUUCUUCUUCUCUUUCUAGAGAGUGUAGAGAGUGUGUGAGGGAGAGGAAUGAGGGAAAGAAAGAAGAGAAAUGACCUAAAAGCCCUCUAUUGCAACAAUAUCCACUUAGGCCCUCCAACAAAGCAACCUGUGCACUGCCCGGGUCUGGGCAGUUUUCAGACUAAGGGACCGGUCUCCCCGACCUGGGACCGGUCUCUCAGCCUGCCCCGAAAAUCCAACGUUCGAGAACAGGUCUCUCCCCGCACGGGACCGGUCUCUCCCCGCGUAGUUGCGCUCGGGGACCAGUCUCAUCCGCCAGGGACCGGUUGCCUCGCAGGCAGCCGCAACACUGCUCCGAGGGGACCGGUCUCUCUUAUCAGGAACCGGUCCCCGAGAGUGAAAACUCUCAGUGCAAUGUUAAAACUCCAGAAAUCAAACUUUUAGGUCCGAAUACCAUCUACGACCUUCCACCAAGUGUGAAAAAGUUCGAAAUCUAACCAAACACUCGAACCUUGCAAUUUGCAAAGGUCCAGUGUGUUACAUGCUUAGUGCCUCUUUAUGACACUUAAGCUUGUUAUAAGUUAAACACAUUUCAUAUUCAAUGUUCCAUUCAUGACAUUAGUAUUAGAUUCUUAUUUAACCCGAGCUCAAUGCCCCUUUAUGACAUUAGCCCAAUCAUUCUCAAGUAGUACAAGUCCCCAAGCCUCUUAAGGCUUACUAAAGUCCUUAUGCCCCAAUUAGGUAUAGGUUUAAAUGCAUGAAGCAAUGCUCGAUUUCAUUGUAAGAAACAUGGUCCCAAGUCCAACAUAAGAAUGCCCAAUGCUAAUGCAAGCUUCACAUGCAACUCUCUCUCUACUAUAUAGAGGUCCGAAAAUAUAUUAUACAUGACAUAGGGAUGUUAAACAUUCUAAAAUUCACAAUAAAUACAUUUAACAUGAAAAUGCAUGAAUUUUCACUUUACGAAACAUAAAUCACCAAAUAUGAGAAUUUCUCAUAUUGUAGGCUAGGUCAAACCCACCGAAACUUGCGCAACCCUUCGUAAGCUCCGACGAAGGUGCCCACUAGCCUCCUAGUACCCUAGAGGUAUAGAAACAAAGGUUAAACGAACCUUACGAACAACCACAAGAUCAAACAUUAACCAUCUAUACAAAGGGGCUAAAAUCUCACCUAUAGUGGAGAAAUCCCUUUCCAAAGCUCAAAAGGAAGCUAAAUUCCUUCCAAAGCAACCUAAACCAAGGUUCUAAUCCCAUUAGAUUAGUUCCAAAAGCCUCUAAUCAAAAAGCCCCAAAAUCAACCCUAAAACCUCAUUCUAGGAUUUCAUCUCCCAAAAUCCACCAAAACUAGGUCUACGGGGGAGAAACAAGCAACUAACCUUUUGAGAAGCUCCAAUCCAAGCUCCAAGAGUGAAGAUCUUCUUUUUAGCAAGCUCCAAGUCCAAGCCUUCAAGUACCCAAGGGAAGAAGAGAGGGAGAGAAAGAUGCUCCAAGCCCUCUUGUUGGUCUCCUUCUUCUCCUUCCUUCCUUCUUCUCCUUCUCUUUCUUCUUCUCCUUCUCUAUCUAAGGUGUAAGGAGAGUUGAGAAAAGAGAAAUGAGGGAGAGAGAAGGUGGAGUGGCCAUAUAGGCUCCCUAUUAUAACAAAAUCCAGAAAAGUCCCUCUACUUUGCAACCUAUCCAACAGCCCGGGCUGGGCAAUUUUCGCCCAGAGGGACCGGUCUCUCCCAGCUGGGACCGGUCCCUCGGGACCCUCCUGCAAACCAGCUCUCGGGAACCGGUCUCCCUAGCCAGGGACCGGUUGCCUUGCCAUAGGGGACCGGUCUUUCCCACCAAGGACCGGUCCCCGAGAGUAAAAAUCUCAGCACUUGUCCAGAAAUUCAGAUUUCGAACAUUUUAGGUCGGAACUCCGUCUACGACCCUCCACCAAGUGUGGAAAAGCUCGGAACACAAGUGAAACACUCGAACCUCGCAAUUUGCACAAGUCCAGUGUGUUACAAAUUCAAGUGGAAUCCGGAAGCACAAACUACUUUUGAGAAACUGAAGACGAUCAUGACUCAAGCGCCUGUACUAGCAAUGCCCAAUUACACCAAACCUUUCACUGUAUAGGUAGACGCAUGUGGACAGGGACUAAGAGCUGUGCUAUCGCAAGGAGGGCGACCAAUCGCUUACAUUAGCAAGGCCCUCAACCCACGGAAUAUAGGGCUAUUGACCUAUGAAAAGGAGUUCCUAGCAAUAUUGUUGGCGGUGAAUAAAUGGAAGCAUUAUCUCAACCCACAAGGGUUCAUAAUCAAGACGGACCACCAAAGUCUCAAGCAUUUAUUAGGCUAGAAGAUUACCACGGUUGUCCAAUAGAAGAGGAUGGUUAAGCUUAUGGAGCUCAACUACGUGAUACAUUACAAAACAGGUAAGGGGAAUAGAGCUGCGGAUUCGUUGUCUAGAAGGGGGAUUGAAGAAGGAGCCACAGCUGCCGUCAUGGCGGUGAUCCCUAGUUGGGUAACGGAAGUGACUGUGUAGCACACUGAACUUUAGCAAAUUGCAAGAUUCGAGUGUUUGAUUAGUGUUCUGAGCUUUUCCAGGUUUUUUGGAGGGUCGUUGAUUGUGUUCCGACUUAUUACUUGCGUCUCGAGAAGCGAGGAUAAGUACUUUGCGCCAAAACCUCUAAAUUACAGGUUUUAGGGUGCUCUCGGGUUGAGCUCUGCUAGGCAGAGUACCGGUACUGCAUUGCCCGAGUACCAGUACUGGAUAUGGUACCAGUACGGCAUCGCAAGGGUACCGAUACCCUGUGUAUUUUCUCGCUUGACUGAGGCUCCGGUUUACGCGCUCGGGUGCCUGGUACCGUUACUCCGCCCUGCGUACCGGUACGCAGUGCAGAUGCAGUCUGCACGUUUUUAAGGAGUCUUUUUGAGAUUGUAGCAUCUCUAUAAAUAAACCCCCACCCUUUUGAGGGGCUUUUUGUGCUGCAACCGGAGAGGAGAAGAGGUGGGUUUCCUCUUCAUUUUCCUUUGAUUUUUUCCUCUCUUUUGCCUUAGAUUUUGAGAUUUGAUCUCUCCACUUUGCUUCCCUUGGCAUGUUGGUGGUUUUCCCACCAUUGGAGAAGCCUUGGAGCAAGGAUUGGAGCUUGAUUGAUGAUAGAACUUCAACCCUAGCACCUUUCUAACUAAGUUUGGAGCUUCAAGAGAGGUUAGUAACCUUGAUUUUUCCUUUGGUUCAUGUUUGGUGGGAUUUUUGUGAUGAAAACCUAGAAAUGAGAAAUCUAGGAUUUUAUUUGGGGGUUUCUUAUUUGAAGCCUUUGGGGUUAAAUUGAUGGGUGUAGAACUUCCUUUUAGGUUAGAUUUGAAGUAUUCUAACUUCCAUUUGGAGUUUGGAAGAUUCUACACUAUAUAAGAUGAGUUUCUACCUCUUUAUGGGUUGGUUAAAGAUGAGCUUGUAGGGUAUUCGUUCGAAAUCCCUAACCCUCUUAGAAUCUUUGUUAGGAAGAUAGGAGACUAGUGGGCAUCCUCAUUCGCGCAAACGAAGGGGAUUCGAGGAGUAAUCGGUGGGUUUGACCUCACCGAAAUGGGAGAACUCCUUCUAUGUCAUUACUUUUAUUAUUAAAUCGAAAAUCAUAUAUAUUCAUACUAGAUAGAGUAUAAAUGAAUUUUAGAAUGCUUAAAAUGCAUAUGUUAUGUAUCAUGUUUUAUAACCUCUAUGUAGUAGAGAGAAAAAUGUAAUGUAACCUUGCAUAUGAAUAGCAUUCUCUAUCUGUGGGUAGAAAUCAAGUUUCAUUUAGUGGAAAUGACAAGUAUAAUAUGCUUUUAGGCAUAGAACUCAAGCUUGACAUAACGGACAUUAAUGUCAUAAAGUGGCAUUCAACUUAGUAAAUAGUUAAACUCUUACUUGAUGACAUUGUGAUAGACCAUUGGGUCAUUAGCUUUCAAACCAUGUUUUAAACAUGAUAACAUUGGACUUGAGAUGAAUGAUUACGUUUGCUUGCCAUUGCGCUCAUUCGCACAUGCUUGUGAGGGUCGCUCCCCACAAGCCGGCACUCCGGAACGCGACAUAAGCUCGCCCGUGUAGGAUUGGACGCCAAAAUGGAAUGCCGUGGGGGAAGCUCAUUCCUAGAGUGGGAAUGUUAACUACCACGGGGCCAUUAGGCACGACGCAAGCCGGACUAUACUUGUGUAGGUCCUACUUGAUUGGAACAAUGUUGAACAAAAAUAAAAUAUGGACAUCAUACUAGUUGUACAUGUGGACAUCAUACUAGUUGUACAUGCUCAUUCAUGUUAGAAUAGCACUUAUACAUGUGACACUUUAUGCUAAGUAGAGGCAAAGUAGUUAGUAGAUUCUUUUAGAUGUUAAAUAUCCAUAUUGUUCAUUUCAGUUAUUCAUAUUCUACUUAUGCCUCCAUGACCUAGUGGUGUAUUUCACUGAUGUCGACGGCUUACCCAUUGGGAACUAUUGACAAUAGUUCUCAUUCCCAUUGUGUUGUUGUUUUUGUUUAUAGAGUCAUCCACUUCGGGAGAGGCUAGGGAUCGCGGCAAGGGGGUCGCAUCUAGCUAGAUUGCAAGGAGUUUUUACGCUAGGUGGUUACCUCUCUAUUUUUGUAUUUGUUAUAGAGAGAUAGACUAUUGUACCCUAUGAGUAGAGACCACUAUUUUUGUGUAUCUAGUACCUUGCGUAUGGAUUUCUGUUAUAUGUAUUCACUUUAUGGAUUGAUAGUUGAUUAUUUCUUGUUUAUUUUUCCACUUAUUUCUUCAAUCUAGUUGUAUACAUGCUCUGAUAUUAUACUAGAUGCUCGUUAUCUCUUGCUUUAUUUAUCGCUUGUUGUAGACGCCUGAUAUGUUGUAGGCAUAUGGCGGGUCUGGUCUAAUGUACAAGAUUUUUAACAUAGAAGUGAAUAUACAUAAAAAUAGUGCAAGAUACUAUUUUUAUUAGACUUAAAGAAGUAAAAUAUAAGUCGGAAAUGACUUGUGUUGAAAUUGGAAUGGAAACAGAAGAUUUAGAAUUUUCUGUAAGGAAUAAGGCUGAUCUUUUAGCAGAAAAUUCACAGUGUCAGAAAAUUAUGAAAAUUUGAGAAUAUAUUAGAAUUAUUUUUAUGAGGCUAGAUUUAAAGUUUCAUGUCAUUCCGACGCCUGAAAAGUGAAAAACAAAAUCUGACUGCUAUCUUCUAGAGAUUUUAGUCGGUAGAGCUUUCNUUGGAAUGGAAACAGAAGAUUUAGAAUUUUCUGUAAGGAAUAAGGCUGAUCUUUUAGCAGAAAAUUCACAGUGUCAGAAAAUUAUGAAAAUUUGACAUGUCGAAAUUAUUUUUCUGAGGCUAGAUUUAAAGUUUCAUGUCAUUCUGACACCCGGAAAGUGGAAAACAAAAUCUGACUGCUAUCUGCUAGAGAUUCUAGUCGGUAGAGUUUUCGGUGACAAAAAAUGAUUCAAAACAAAAAAAAGUUAAGAUUUCGUUAUUCGUAUUAAUUUUAACCGAGCCUGACUGUCAAAUUUGAGAGCAAACGGACAUUCAGAAGGGCUCCGGCAAAAAGUAUCAUAUUCUGAACUGGACUAAACUGUGAGUUGUAAUUGUUGGGGGGCCUAUAUGUGUAACAAUUACCUCUCCCCUAUAUUCUAGUUCAACCCGAGAGAGAGGAAGCAAGUCUUCUCUCUUUUUCUCUUUCUCUCUUUCCCUCAAGCUCACAUUACUCUCUCCCUCUCUUGUAAUCUCUCCACCAAAGAGAAGAGUUGGAGAAGAAAUUGGAGAUUAAACGUGGAAAUAGCUUGGAUAGAUCGAGGAAGUUUGAGGCUCUCUAACGGUGGAUUAAGCUUGGAGAGCUAUGUGAUUAAGGUGAGAUUUCAUAUAUUUAGGUUAGGGUUUGUGUUAAAUCCUUUACAAUUAGUGUAUUUGAGAUCUCUAUGUAAUUUUAAACAAGAUUGAGUAAAUGUUUACCAUAGAUUUUAGUGUUCUUGAGGAUUCAUGAAACCUAGGGUUAGAAAAUGGGAAUUUUGUCUCUAAAAGGUUUUGAAUCAAAUUGAUCUCGUAAAACCAUAAUUGAAGGAUAUUUCGAUCCGGAGGACAACUUCGUUUUGGAUUACGACGAGGUUACAGCGUCUGAUCAAGAGAUUUGCGGAAUUUGGUUCGUUAGGCUUGGGUCGAGCUAAAACAGCAACGGUAAAUUACGGGACUUGGUUUCUCGCUUCUUGGCGUUAAUACGAGGUGGGUGGUGCUAUUCAGAAUGGUUGGAUUUCUCUCUAUGUCUAAUUCUCUUUGUUGAGCAUAUGUAUAUGUGUAUUGAUUAUAUGUGAUAGGGUUCAAGUAUUUCUUAUUAUAGAAACUUGCAUGCCUCCUAUGAUGUAUAAAUGAAUAACUGUGAUGAUGACUUGGAAAUUAGGAUGCAUGAACUUAAUAACAUAUAAACCCUAGUGACAUGUUGAAUUAGUAGACGAAAAACUAGUGGAUUGGACAUAAAAAACAUUAUGGAUAUUGAAUUAAGGGGCAACUGCUUAUAUACCCCUGAAAAGUUCCUGACUUUCCGAUUUACCCCUCCUAGAAGGCUAAUAUUGAAAAUACCCUUUCUACAUUCUAACAUAUUUCUAAUAUACUCCUAGAGUUAAAAUCUGUUAAUUAACUCUGUUAUCUCUGUAAAAUUACUAUUUUGCCCUUUAAAUAUACCCUUCGACCAUCACGGACUUUCUUAUUUGCACUUAAUGUCAGGGGCACAAAAAAUAUUUUAACUUUUGAUCUUUUCCAAUAUACCCCUCCACCGUCACCAAUAUUUCUUAUUUGCCCUUAAGUUAAGGGCAAAAUUGGCAUUUUAAUUUAUUUUAACUAUGGUAGAUACUUAACUCACGUUUAAUCGAAGUUAACUUAACAAGAGAUAACUGCGAGGGUAUUUUGCAAUAACGGUAGAACAUUUGAGGGGUAUUAUAGAAAGAAAAAAAAAAGUAGGGGUAAAUCGGGUAUUUUCUAACAUACGAGGGGUAUAUAGGCAAUUAUCCCUUGAAUUAAAUGAUGCAUUGGUUGUCAUUAUGAUAUUGAAUGUAAACCUUGUGAUAAAACCAUGGAUUGGGCAUAAUGCGUUGUGCAUGAAAGGGAUAUGGCAUGAAUUGAGAAAGUCUCAAGUAUGAAUAAGAAAUUGGGUCAUUCCAUUGUGGCAUGAUGUUGAGUCACCAUUUGAGCAUGUAUGUGUAUGUGUAGGAUUCAAGCAUUGUAGGGUUAAAUGGUAAUAUGUUAGUACUCUUGCAUGUUUUUAGUAUAAAGAUGCAUAUGAAUUGGUAAUGGAACAUUAGACAUUUGUGAACCUUAUAGAUGUAUGAAUUGAGACAUGAAUCUAGCCAAGUUAGAGAACAUGGUGACAUUGUGACAAGUGAGUAAAAUAGCACCUUGUGGCAUUGAUUGCUAGAGAAUGAGACACUUCAUGUGUUGUGGCAUUAGUGGACAUGGCAUCCUCAUAGUUGUGGAUUGGAUCAUACUCACCUGUAAGUCUUGGCUUGAGGGCGGUCGCUCCCCCUCGAGCGAUGAGCACCGGAGUAGUCAUCACUGGGUUGUAGUUUUUCCAGAGGACGGUCCCAUCGGGUUGCAGCGAGUAUCUCCCCGAUUGUAGGGAUUUGAGUUGGUGAGUUUUGGGGCUAAACCUACGGGUUAGCCAAAGAUGAUUGGGUAAUGGCAAUGAUAAUGUGCAUGCAUCAUGAGCAUCUUAUAUAUCGUUUCAGCAUUCUUAUAAAGGCAUAGUAGCUGCAUUAAUUUGUUUAGAAUUGGUUAUCUAUUUAUCUUUCUCUACUUAUGCCUCAAUUAGACCUAGUGGGAAAGUCGGCGAGGUCAGCGGCUGAACCCACACUGAGAACUUCUUUUAGUUCUCACCCCCAUUUAUUGCAGAGCCACCAUUUAGCGGAGCAGCACCAAACCGAGACAUUGGUGUUGCGAUCUAGAUUAUCACGCCCCGAGCCCGCCUAUUUGGUCGAUUCGUGUACGUCAACAGAUGCCGAACGGAUAGCACCUCCCCUGUCCGGCCAAGGCUCAACAAGACAACAACAUGUAUAUAAAUUUUACACAGCGGUAGCAUACAUAUACAUGGCUUGCUCGAGGGCAAGCAACGGCCAAAAGUGAAAGUUCUACAACUAUUAAAUCCAUACAAGUACUAUGAUUACCUUUAUUCACAUACAUGCAUAUGAACAUUUACAUUCUUUCAUUCUUUUCUUUAUACAUCACAUGAUCCUCCAAAAUAUAAGCCUUUUACAUUUAUACAUCAUUUAUACAACUUUCAUCAUCAAAUACAAAAGAUGAUAAUAACAUGUAUGAAACUAUACUCAAGUGGUCACUGUUUAAAGCGCGAUACUCUUACCGCGAUUCUCGAUCGGCUCACUCGGCCCCGGCUCUGUAGAAUAUAGUUGGGUGAGAACUACAACAAAGUUCCCAGUGGGUUCGGCCGCCGACCUCACCGACUUUCCCACUAAGUCUAAAUCAGGCAUAAGUAGAAGAAUAAAGCAGAUAGAUAGGUAACCAAGCUAAACAAAUGCAGGUAAUAUAUCUGAACAAGAUACUAUCAAUAAAGGAUGCUUAUGAUGCAUGCCAAAUCCAUUUUUAAUACCCAAUCCUCUUGGCUAACUCGUAGGUUUCGCCCAAAACUCACCAACUCAAAUCCCUACUAUCGGAGAGAAACUCCUACAACCCGACGGGACCGUCCUCUGGGGAAACUCCAACCCAGUGAUGACUACUCCGGAGCUCAUCGCUCGAGGGGGAGCGACCGCCCUCAAGCCAAGACUUAUAGGUGAGUAUGAUCCGAUCGUUAAUUAUAAGGAUGCCAAGUUUAAUUCAAUCCUUAACUAUAAGGAUGUUAUGCUUAAUCCAACACUUAAUUAUAAGGAUGUUAUGCUCACUAAUCCACAACUAUGAGGAUGUCAUAUUCACCAUGCCACAACACACUAUGUGUUCAAUGCUCUAGCAUUCAUUAUGCUAACUAAUGCCACACACCAAGUGUCUCAUUCUCUAACAUUCUUUAUGCUCAUUAAUGCCGCAAGGCUACUUUACUCAUGUGUCAUAAUGUCAUUAUGUUCUUUACCUCAACUAGGUUCAUGUCACAAGGCUACUUUACUCAUCUGUCAUAAUGUCACUAUGUUUUUACCUCAACUAGGUUCAUGUCACAAUUCACAUCUAUAGGGUUUAUACUUGUUCAAUAACUCAUAUGCAUCUUUAUACAAAGAGCAUUCAAAUAAUAUAUAUCCACACGUUCUCAACUCAACCCUACAAUGCAUGAAACCUAUAUAUACAUACAUGCUCAAGUGACAUUUAGACAUAAAAAGAGAUUCGAUGAAUUCGGGAAGCACCACCCACCUCGUAGAGCCACUAGGGUGCUAGAAUCCAAGUUCCGAAAUUUAUGGUCGCCAAUCACCCACGACCCUCGGCAAACGAAGCCGAAACGGGGUUUUUCCUCAAUUUCUUCGCGUAGACUCGUCAGAUCUUCGAACAGAGUCUCCCAACGCGUCGGUUUUCUCACCAAGUAGGGCUAUAAGAGAUCAAACCUUAGUUAGAUCUCAAUCCUAGCAAAACCCCAAUUUGACCCCUAGGGUUUCCAUUAUUGCCAAAUACUCACAUAAAUCUCAUAAUACAUAGAGAUUCAUACACUAAUCUACUAUAAUAGCUUCUAGAUAUCAUAACUAGAAGAGAUUAGCAUAAACCCUAGCUUAACAUCACAAGAACUCACCUUGAGAUCUAGCUUCUUCCUCCACUUGUUGCACAAGUGCUAACUCCACCCUCCAAUAGGCUUUCUUCUCCACCAAGGCCCCCCUCUUGGAGCAAUCCUAGUGAGAGAAGGAGAGGAAGGGAGAGAGAGAGAGAGAGAGAGUGAGAGGGGCUCUAGAGAGAGAAAGAGAAAGCUUGUCUCUUUGGGUCUCAAAUAGGGAAAUGAGAGCUAGGGCAUCCAACUCUCCUAUAUGGUCCCAAAAAUGACAUUUACACUUAGGCCCUUCAACAAUACACCCAACUGAACCAACUUACGCAUUUUGCGAGUACGGGGUCCGGACCCUUCACGGACCCCAAGAGCAACAUUUCACAAUUUUCGCAGUUAGCAUCCGGACAGUGCUACAAGGUCCGGACCCCGAGAGCAAACAUGUUCAAAACAAUCUGAAUUUUUCCAGGGUUGCUCUCCAAGGUCUCAACACCCUAUAUAACCAUUUCGACGCACUCAGAACCUGACUUCGAUCAAUUUGACUGAAGUUCAGUACAACCUACCGAAGUUUCGGUAUAUUACAUUCUCCACCCUUUAAAAAUAGUUUCGUCUGCGAAACUAAACACAUACCUUAACUCGUCAACUUGAAUAGGUGAGGAUACGUCUUUCGCAUUGUCUCUUCGAGUUCCCAAGUGGCUUCACGCUCCGCAUGAUUGCUUCACUGGACUUUAACAUAUGGAAUUGUGCGACUCCGCAACUUUCUUUCUUCUCGAUUGAGAAUACACACCGGAUACUCAUCAUAGGUCAUAUCCUUGUGCAAUUCCACCGGCUCAUGCUCUAACACAUGAGAGGAGUUGCGAAAAUAUUUGCAAAGAUUGGAUACGUGGAAUACAUUAUGAAUUCUCGCCAGCCUCAGCGGUAGUGCGAGCUUAUACGCCACCGCACCCACACGCUCCAAUAUCUCAAACGGCCCAACAUAUCGCGGACUAAGCUUCCCAUAGAGCCCAAAUCGCUUAACACCACGCAUGGGUGAUACCUUUAAGAACACAAAAUCUCCAACCGCGAACUCAAGAUCCUUCCAUCGCUUGUUGGAAUAACUCUGUUGCCGCGAUUGCGCCGUCGCAAGCCGUUGACGAGCUAGGCGAACUUUUUCUUCCGCCUCUCGCAACACAUCGGGACCAAGAGUAACUCUCUCGCCCACCUCGCUCCAAUGAAUAGGAGAGCGACACUUCUUUCCAUAUAGAGCUUCGAAUAGCGCCAUAGCAAUACUUUCUUGAUAACUAUUGUUAUAUGCGAACUCCGCCAUCGGUAAAUAGUCGUGCCAUCCGCCUUUGUAAUCAAGUACACACGCUCGAAGCAUGUCCUUGAGGAUUUGUAUCGUCCUCUCUGAUUGGCCAUCACUCUGAGGAUGAAAUAUCGUGCUAAAAUCGAGCCGUGUGCCUAGAGCGUCCUGUAAGCUCUUCCAAAAAUGAGAAGUGAACCUGGGAUCUCGAUCUGAUACUAUGGAAGUAGGUACCCCGUGUAAUCGCACAAUCUCAUCCAAAUAAACCUGUGCGAGUCUCUCACCAGUCCAAGUAGUGUGGAUAGGUAUGAAAUGUGCCGAUUUCGUCAACCUAUCCACAAUCACCCAAAUUGCGUCAUGCCCGGCUUGAGAUCAAGGCAAACCGGUCACAAAAUCCAUUGCGACAUCUUUCCACUUCCAAACGAGUAUAGACAAGCUUUGCAACUUUUCCGCCGAAAAUCGACGUUCCGCUUUCACUUAUUGGCACAUUAAACAUUGCGCCACAAACUCUCUAAUAUCCCUCUUCAUCCCCGGCCACCAAUAAUGCACUUUUAAGUCUUUGUACAUCUUAGUGCCGCCCGGGUGUAUGCUAUAGGGAGAUUGAUGCGCUUCUACUAUGAUCGCCUUCCGAAUAUCCUCAUUUUUGGGUACACACCAACGAUUUCGGAAUCGAAGUGCGCCAUCGGUUCCAAUGCCGAAACCACCGACACGUCCACUUUCAACUUCACCCUGCACCUUUUGGAGAUAAGGAUCGGAAGCUUGCUGCUCUUUAAUUCUCUCCAACAAGGUCGGUUGAACUACCAACACGGCAAAAAUAGCCGGCACCUCAGGAGCUACUACCUCAAGACCAAACCGUUGCAUCUCUUUUUGUAAUGACGGUUGGGGUGCAAUUGUCGUAGCCAAAUUUUCCACCGACUUUCUACUUAGUGCAUCGGCCACAACAUUGGCUUUUUUCGGGUAGUAUAAAAUAGUGACAUCAUAGUCCUUUAGCAACUCUAACCACCGCCGCUGUCGCAUAUUCAAUUCCUUUUGGGUGAACAAGUAUUUGAGACUCUUAUAAUCUAUGUAAAUCUCACAAUGCUCACCGUACAGAUAAUGCCUCCAUAAUUUCAGCGCGAAUAUCACCGCAGCUAGCUCAAGGUCAUGUAUCGGAUAGUUCUUCUCAUAACUGUUCAACUGAUGAGAAGCAUGAGCAAUCACUCGCCCAUUCUGCAUCAAAACACACCUGAGACCACUAUACGAAGCAUCACUGUACACCACGAAGCUUUACCCCGGAGUCGGUAAAGCAAGUACCGGGGUCGAAGUUAACCUUUCUUUCAACUCAUUGAAGCUUCGAUCACAAUCGUCGCUCCACACAUACGUUACUCCUUUGUGCGUAAGGCGCAUCAAUAGAAUAGUUAUCUUAGCAAACCCCUCCACGAACCGCCGAUAGUACCCCGCAAAACCAAGAAAACUGCGGAUCUCCGUAACACUCGUCGGGCGAGGCCAAUCCCUAAUUGCCUCAACUUUCUUCGGAUCCACCGAGACACCGCUCCCGGAUAUCACGUGGCCUAAUAAGGUAACCUUCGAAAGCCAAAAGUCGCACUUUUUCAGCUUGGCAUAAAGCUUCUCUUUUCGAAGUAUUUGCAUCACUGUUCUCAAGUGCUCCUCGUGCUCCUCUUCACUCCGCGAAUAAACCAACACGUCGUCAAUGAACACCACGACGCAUUAGUCCAACAACGGCCUGAAGACUCGAUUCAUCAGGUCCAUAUAUGCUGUAGGGGCAUUAGUAAGUCCGAAUGGCAUCACCGUGAACUCAUAGUGGCAAUAUAGCGUACGAUACACCGUCUUGUGCACAUCCUUCGGCCUGAUCUUCAGCUAGUGAUACCCUGACUGGAGAUCAAUUUUCGAAUAUACCCGCGACCUUUGCAACUGAUCGAACAAAUCAUCAAUUCUAGGCAAUGGGUAUUUAUUCUUGAUUGUCACCUUGUUCAACUCGCGAUAGUCCACACAGAGUCGAAGUGUUCCAUCCUUCUUCUUCACGAAUAGCACCUGAGCUCCCCACGGUGACAUACUCGGCUUCACAAAGCCUUUAUCGAGUAAGUCUUGCAAUUGAGCUUUCAACUCUACUAACUCUGCCGGUGCCAUUCGAUACGAAGCCUUCGAAAUUGGCGCCGCUCCGAGAAUAAAGUCAAUGACGCACUCGAUCUCCCGGUUAGGUGGCAAUCCCGAUAACUCCGCCGAAAACACAUCCAGAAACUCACAUGCCACAUGAAUAUCUACAAGCAUCGGGGGCUCCUUUUGGGUCUCCACCAUUGUCGCCAAAUAGGUCACACAUCCACCUUUAAUCAUCUUCCUCGCCCUCGACGCCGAUACAGUCGCCGCAAAGUGCGAGCUUUUACACGCACGAUACACCACCUCCUCUCGGUUAGGCUCAUGAAAAGUGAUCACCUUGCUCUCGCAGUCAAUAACGGCAUAAUACUUCGAGAGUGAAUCAAUUCCAAGGAAAACAUUGUAGCCCUACAUCUGGUUCAACACAAGAAAAUCCGCCGGCAUAAUCCAAUCGCCAAUCUGCACUGGACAAGCCGCGCAUUCUUCCUUGACACUAAAAGUAUGCUCUGGUGCAUAAACCCACCAAUAAUCUAGACUAUCCAACACUUCUAUACCAUGAGUUCUAGCGAACAAUGCGCCAAUGAAUGAAUGGGAUGCAUGAGUAUCAAACAAUGCUCUAGCUCUAGUGCCAUUAAUUAAAAUAAUACCUGCCACGACAUCAUCUAGUACAGCAGGCUCCUCCACCUGAGCGGUAAAAACCCGGCCACUCGGUGCUGCUCGCGAUCCCUCCGGUUGACGCGGCACAGAUGAGCAUCUAGUCGACAUAGCGGGUUGCAGUCCCGCGGACUGUCUCGGGGUAGACAGGACUGAUGCAGCCGUUGGGGCAGACGAUGUCCAACUCGGGCACUCCCGGAUGACAUGUCCAACUUGACCGCACUUGAAACACUUUCCAUCACGUUGUGGGCAAGCCGGCGGUCGAUGAUCACCGCCGUAGAUAACACACCGGGUAGGCCUCCAGUUCUUUGACUGCUGCCGUGGGUACCGAGGAGGCUUCUUAGCAUUCGGCCGACCCCGGCACCACCCGCAGCUCGCUUCUUACCCUUGUCCCUGUCCUUGUCCAUAGACUCGCGCUCCCCGCGCGCAUAGGCACUACCGUACUCCGCCCACAAUGCCCGAUCCAAAACCUCCACAAAGGUUGUAAGCUUAAAGAUCUGCACCUUCUCAUAAAUCCUUGGUUGAAGUUCUCGCAAGAACCAAUCGGCACGAUCCUUGUCAUCCCGAACAAUAUCUGGGACACAGUCGAUAAUGUGGGAGAACUCUCGCUCGUACUCUCCCACCGAGCGAUCACCCUGUCUUAGCUUUCGGAACUUAUCCUGUAACUUCCGCUUCUCACUAUCGGGGCAGUAAUUUGCAAACAUCAACCCUCGAAACUCCUCCCAAACCAUAAACAGAAGGUCGGAAGAUCGAUCACGCUUCACCCGUUUCCACCAUACUUUCGCCGCCUUCUCUAAACAAUGAGUGGCGAGGUGCACUUUAUCCUUCUCCAAGAUAUAAAUAUCCUCGAAGAGUGUCUCCAUCGAGUCGAUCCCCGACCCAACCAUCCAUGGCUCCACUUUCUCCCCGUCAAACACUGGCGGGUUGAACUUCUUGAACAUUGCGAGAGCCACCAACGCACGCUCCCGCUCCCCCUCUAUAGCCGCACCAUCGGGAUUUGAGGUUCCCGAACUGGCCGCCACCGCCGUGACUAGUAUAGCUACCGCAGCCACUCGCUCAGCCGCACUUGGUAUCACGAAAGGAGGCGCAGGUUGCUCGACACCCACAUGAGCUGUCGCCGCCUGCUGCUGCGCUAAGGCCUCUUGGGGCCUUUGAAUUUGCUCCCCUUGGCGUUGCACCGAUUCCACUUGCCGCUGCACCACUCCUAUGAGAACGGACACCUGCUCCCGGAGCUCCCCGUCGCCGCUCGCUCCGGAUUGCUCGAGAGCCGAACUCGGUUCCUUGGGCAUCGACCUUGUUCGAGGUCUACCACGAGCCAUCGCUUCCUGAAACGUAGCAAUUCACACUAGCUACUCGACCAACAUACUCAAACAAACCAAAUCCAGCGAAAGCAAACAAGUGUAGCCAUUCUUAUUCCAAGGCAUUAUGUCGUCGGCCGCCCAAGACAACACUUGGAGUAGAGAACAAAUAUCAACUUGGAUUAACCCCUAAUAAUAUUAGAGACAUACUAACAUCACCCAAUCCAUAAGGUUUUCGCAACAAAUUGAUUCCACGUCACUCACGUCCCUAAGAGCUCCUAAGGUUUCCAUCCUAAGGUGUAGCACACUGGACCUUUGCAAAUUGCAAGGUUCAAGUGUUUGAUAUAUGAUCUGAGUUUUUUCAGAUAUUCUGGAGGGUCGUUGACAGUGUUUCGACCUAUGGCUCGUAUCCCGAGAAUUGUGGUAUUUAUAGUAGUGCUUAGGUCGCCGAAGUGGAGGACUUAGGUUGCUCUCGGGUUGCCUCAGUAGGGCUGUGUACCGAUACAACAUUGAAGUUGUACCAGAACAAGUGGUUGUGCCGGUACAGCAUCGGAAGUGUACCGAUACACUUGGCUGUUUUCUGCGAACCCGAGCCUCGGGUUUGCGCGUACAGGGUUUUGUACCGGUACACUUUUCCGUGUACCGGUACCAAUGCAGUCCGCAGACUGCUUGUUCUGGGAGGGUGUUUUUGCAAUUGUUGCUUAUCUAUAAAGCACCCCACGCCCCUUUGGAGUUCCCUGAGCUUGAGACCAGACGAGGAGAAGGUAGGGAGGCCAUCUAAACCCUCUCUUUGAUUUUUCUUCUUGCCAUCUAAACCCUCUCUUUGAUUUUUCUUCUUUUGUUGGGACUUUUGAUGAUUUAUUCCCUCUUUUUUCUUCUUGGUGUGAAUUUCACCAUGGAAGGAGCUUGGAGCUUGGUUUUGGAGCUAGUUGGAGGAGAGGUGUCACGCCCCGGGACCCAGCGGAAGCCCGCCCGGUGCGUGCCCAGACCCGCCAUAUGUCUACAACAUAUAAGGCGUCUAAAAACAACAAUAAUAAAAGCAAUAAUACAAGACAUCUAGAAGUAUCAGAGCAUAGUAAAUGUCUAAUUGCUACAACAAGGGAUAAAGUUAAAACUGUAAUUCCACUAAAUAAAACAUAAAGUAAGUACAAUAGGGAUCCCAUAACGAGUGCUAAAAGUAGGUACACAGGUGGUCUUUCUAUACAUGGAAACCAAAAGCCUCACGCUCUCNAAUCCACAAGGUAUACGAGUGAAAUAAAGAGAGUACUUUACUAACUAUUAUAAUAGUUGCAUUCUUUACAUUUGAUCUUCAAAAUACAUAGCUCUCCAACCUCGCCUACAUGAGUCUCUCUCAAUACAUACGGGUGCUAAUGCAAAAAGGAAAGCUACUAUACUACCACAGCCUCACUGAUCGGGCGCGAUGCCUUUGCCGCGGUCCUCCCUCGACAAUCCUGAACCUACCACUGGAAAUAGAGUGGGGUGAGAACUAUCUUCCAUAGUUCCCAGUGGGCUCGGCCGCCGACUCUACCGAUCUCCCCACUAGGUCCAAGUGGGCACAAGUAACAACAGAUAGAUAGAUAGAUAUGUAUCUGAAAGCUGUAAAUGCAGUAGUAGGAAAAACUAUGCUACUAUGCCCAUAAUCAUGAAUAUGAAUGCAUGCAUCAUAUAAAUAAGGUUUGCUACCAUGCUAACAAAUUCGAUCCAUGUUCGAAUAGUAAUGUUCAAUGACAUUAAUAAACCUUUCCAUUUACUCAAUCUGUAGCGAGGCCCUAGGGCUCGCCUAUGACUCACCAUUUAAUACCAAAGUGGGGAGGGAGCUCCAAGUGCACCCAGGCCCGGGACCGUCUGCGGACCUCUAUGUGGUCCGGACCUCCAAGUGGUCCUAGUCGCGCGACACUCCGGAGUACUCGAUGACAAUCCCCUCCAUGUGGGGAUUGGAUGGUUAUACCAUCCCAAACGCAGACUGUGAACUAGAUCUAUCCUCUCCAAGUGAGGAUACCCUACAACUAGGGUCAACAACCCAAUCCAAUCCUCUCCAAGUGAGGAUGCCCUCCAACUAGGGUCAACAACCCAAUCCAAUCCUCUCCAAGUGAGGAUGCCCUGCAACUAGGGUCAACGACUAUCGCGGAAUCAUCAGUUCCCGACAUUCAUGCAAUGCUAUUUAGCUUUCUAAAUUCAUUGUUCACAAGGCAUUUUCUAAGGGAUCCACCUAUCCCUAGGUCCAUCGACCUCUAGUGUUAUUUACACUACAUUAAUGCCACUCAUUAUCAUUCAAUAUUUGGAUGCCACUCGUUUGUUCUUUAACAAUAACACUACUCUCUAUGUCAUCAAUUCCCCCAUCGUGUUCAUCUCUUUUCUUUCGUACCAUAGGAUUCACGUCUCGACCCAAUCCUCACCUAUCUAAAUUACCAAGCGUUCCAAGUACACUAGGUUAUCAAUUAGAAAGCAUAAGGAAUGGAACUACUAUGGAAUCCUACAAUGCACAUGAAGAGAUGAGAUUAAAUGCAAUCUAAGACAUAGAAAGGAGUUCGAAAGUUUCGGAUGACACCCCACACCUUUAAUCGAUGUAGAGGCUUGGAAAAUCCUUCUCGGCGAGCUCUAUGAAAAGGCUUUAGCCUUCCUCGCCCGAAUCGACACUAGCUCGGCCCGAUUUUGCCGAGAACUUCACGUCGGUUCGCCGAAUGCCAAAAGCGACUUCGCCCCCGCAUUUUGGGACCUAUCAAUAGGGUUUCCAAGGCUUCAAAUGAGAUAAAUCUCAUACUUUUACAAAAACCCCAUUUUGGAGCCCUAGGUUUGCACCUAUAGCAAACCACCCAAUAAAUCCCUAGAUUCUUGGGAUUGAUCUAUUUAGAAGCUUGCAUAGGAUCCAUUUGACCCAUUCCAAGGCAUAAAAUCCAAAAACCCUAAGUUUACAAAGCUACGGUUUAGUAGCUUACCUCUAGAGCUACACCAAUGGGAAGAGGAGAGGGAGAUGGGGGUGCUCAAAGCCUUCCUCUUGAUCUCCUUCUUCUUCUCCUUCCUUAUCUUCCUCUUCUUUUCCUUCCUCUCCUUCUUGUUCUUCUUCUCCUUCUUUCCUUUCUAGAGAGAGAGAGAGCAAGAAAGAAAUGAGAGUGAGAGAGAGUGAAAUGAGAGAGUGUGAGGGAGAGAGAGGGCUCAGCCCACUCAAAUAAAGGCCAUUUUGCAUAAAAGCCCCUCAACUUUCACCCUGCUGCACUGCCCUCACUGCAGUUUAUCGCGCGAAGUCGGACGGUCUCCCUGACCUGAGACCGAUCCCCGAGAGCUUCGCCUCGGGCACACGGUGUUCAGGGAACCGAGUCUCUCCCCGUGGAGACUGCGUCCUCGGGAGACGGUCUUCGACCUGAGAGACCGGUUCCCCGAGAGCUCGAUUUUUCAGGAUUAUCAAUUUUUGGCAUUCUGCGCUGGACCCGUUCGAACGGGUCCCUCCCUGCAGGGACCGGUUGGCCAUCAGCAACCCCGCGUCACCCGCUAGUGCGGGAACCCGGUCUCUACCUCACGAGACCGGUCCCCGAGAGUAAUUCUUAGACGCAAUAGAGGCAGUUUGUCUUUGCUCGCGACCUCAACUCCAAAGCCACUUUUGUGUUUGGGAUCAUUCUCAACUCCCACAGAGGUAUACGUUUCGACAUUAGUCAAGUCUGCGAUGAAGUACAAUCCUCGUAUUUCGAGGAAUUCUACUUCCCUUUAAUUUGACCUAUGGCUCGUAUCCGGAGAAUUUCGGUAUUGUAGGUAGUGCUAAGGUCGCGUAAGUGGAGCACUUAGGUUGCUCUCGGUUGCUCAGCAGCGGCUAGUACCGAUACAACAUUGAAGUUAUCCGGAACAAGUGGUUACCGAUACAGAUCGGAAGUGUCCGAUGACCUUGGAUGUUUUCUGCGAACCGAGCUCGGGUUUGCCCGUUUAAGGGUUUGCACGGUACACUUUUCCGAUUACGGUUACCAAUGCAGUCACGGACUGCUUUGUUCUGGAGGGUUGUUUUGCAAUUGUUGCUUUAUCUAUAAAGCACCCAACGCCCCUUUGGAGUUCCCUGAGCUAGAGACAGGGAGGAGAAGGUAGGGAGGCUCUAAACCCCUCUUUGUUUUACCUUUUUUGUUGGAAUUUUUUAUGAUUUAUUCCCUCUUUUAUGCUUCGGGGUGUGGAUUUCACCAUGGAAGGAGCUUAGAGCUUGCCGUUUUGGAGCUAAGUCUGGAGGAGAGGUCUUCAACCCUAGCUCAUCCCAAGCCUUGUUUGGAGUUUCUCUUGAGGUUAGUUGCUUGUUUCCCCUCUCUAGAUCAUAAUUUUCAUGAUUUUUGUAUAGAAACCCUAGAAAUGGAAAACUUAGGGUUUAUUUCGGGGUUUUGGAUUUAAGGCUUUUGAAGCUUGAUUUCUUGUAUUAGAGCCUUCCUCUAGGUGGGAUUGGAAGGGUUCUAGCUCCCAUUUGGAGCUUGUGAGGGGAUUUCUACUCUAUAGGUGAGUUUUGGCCCUUUCGUUAAGUUGGUUAAUGUUUAACCUAUUCGUUAUUCGUAACGUUCGUGUAACACUCCUAGUUUAACCUUUAGGGAGCUAGGAGGCUUGUGGGCACCUUCGUCGCCGCAAACGAAGGGUUGCGAGGAGACUUGUUGGGUUUGGCCUCACCAAAACGGGAUAAAUCAUCGCUAUAAUGGUUUUUACUUAUCGUAAAAUGAAGAUACAUGCAUAUUCAUGCAAGAUAGAUUAUUUGUGAACUUUAGAAUGCUUAAAAUGCACAUGUUAUGUAUAAUGUAUUUUUGGACCUCUAUGUAGUAGAAGUUUGCAUGUUGGGCUUGAGCCUAUGGAUAGCGCUCCUAUGUGUGAAUUUGGAUCAUGUUUCAUAUAGUGAAAAUGACAAGUGCAUUGCAUUCUUGGACUUAGACUCAUGCUUUAUAUUGUAAGCUAAUGUCAUAAAGAGACAUUGGGCUUGGAGUUGGUAUAGUAAGCUAAUAUCAUAAAGGGGCAUUAGGCUUGAACUAGAUAUGGACUUAGCAAGCUAAUGUCAUAAAGGGGUAUUAGACUUGGAAUAUGUGUGGACUUAGUAAACCUAAUGUCAUAAAGUGGCAUUAGCGUUGGCACAAGAUUUUGGCAUAGUGUGAUAUAAUGCCAUAAAGGGGCAUUGGACAUAAUGAAUGGUUAAACCUUCACUUGAGACAUUGGACUAGACCUAUGAGUUGCUAGCGAUCAUUUCCAUGGUAGAGUCAUGAUGACCGGAUCGUUGAGACGAUGACUUUGCUUGCUUGCCAUUUGUGCUCAUUCGCACAUGCUUUUGAGGGUCGCUCCCUACAAGCCGGCACUUCGGAGUUGGCCUUUUUGCGACGUAGUUCGCGCGUGCGGGAUUGAGACGCCUGUAGGGUCGCGUGGGACAGCUUUAUUCAAGCUUGGGAUGAUGUGCUACCACGGGCAGCUAAGCGGCGAGGCGCCUGUAGGGUCGUGUGGGACAGUCCCAUUCCUCAAGGGGGAAUGUUGGUACUACCACUGGCAGCUAGGCUGCACAAGCUGAACUAUCUUGGGUAGGUCCUUAAUUGGAAAUGAAAAUCGACACGGAGUCGUUUAUGUAAUAAUCACUACUUGAUAGUAAAUCGUAGUUGGAUUCAAUGGACAUUGGGACAUAUAGUAUAUUUGGUCGCUAUGAUAGUGCAUACUACAUAUGUAUUGGACACUUGGACAUGUAGUAUACUUAAUAGUAUUGCUUAUUGCAUUUUAAUAUACUUGGGUGCCGUGAUAGAGCAUACUAGACAUGUUUUGGUAUAUUGGAUCAUGAUAGAGUAGAUGUACUCCAUGUUCAUAUCAUGUAUAUUUGUGGCAUAGUAGUGUAGCAUUUAUUAUAUGCUUUCUUUUCCGCUGUUAUUAUUAUCCAUAUCUGCUUAUGUUUUGGGCCUAGUGGUGCAUUUUGCUCAGGUCAGUAAUUGCCCACUGGGAACUAUAAAUUAUAGUUCUCACGCCCCCUGUUUUAUGAUUUCUUUCAGAGCCUUCCACUUCGGGAGAGGCUCUGGAUCGCGGGAAAGGUAUCGCCUCAAAUUAGCUUGCGAGGGGUUCAGCGAUAGGUGGUCCACCUUUCUUUUGAGUUUUGUUUUGUAGAGGUUGAGAGAGACUUGUACCAUUUUGUAGAGACCACCCCAUACUUGUAUCUUGAGAUUUGUGUUGUAUUAAGUUUACUUCUUACUGUAGUGGUUUUGUUUCUGUUGACUAUAUUUGUUGGUAGAACCUAGCUGUAUACUGCCUAAUAUCUCUAGAUACUCUCGGUUUUUUAUUCAUUUAUUCGCUAUUGUUGUAGACGCCUUAUAUGUGCAGGCAUAUAGCGGGUCUGGGCACGCACUGGGCGGGCUUAUGCCGGGUCCCGGGGCGUGACAUAAGGGUUCCUAGGUCCAUCCUAAACUUUCAUUUUUCAAGCUCUAAUACCAUUAUAUCUGUCACGCCUCGAGCCCGCCUAUUUGGUCAAUUCGGGUACGUCAACAGACGCCGAACAGACAACACCUCUCCUGUCCGCCCAAGGCUCAACAAGACAACAACAUGUAUAUAAAUUUUACAUAGCGGUAGCAUACAUAUACAUGGCUUGCACGAGGGCAAGCAACAACCAAAAGUGAAAGUUCUAUAACUAUUACAUCUAUACAAGUACUAUAAUUACCUUUAAUCACAUACAUGCAUAUGAACAUUUACAUUCUUUCAUUAUUUUCUUUAUACAUCACAUGAUCCUCCAAAAUAUAAGCCUUUUACAUUUAUACAUCAUUUAUACAACUUUCAUCAUCAAAUACAAAAGAUGAUAAUAACAGGUAUGAAACUAUACUCAGGUGAAGAAUAAAGCAGAUAGAUAGGUAACCAAGCUAAAUAAAUACAGCUAAUAUGCUUGAACAAGAUACGAUCAAUAAAGGAUGCUCAUGAUGCAUGCCAAAUAUAUUUUUAAUACCCAAUCCUCUUGGCUAACCCGUAGGUUUCGCCCAAAACUCACUAACUCAAAUUCCUACUAUCGGGGAGAAACUCCUACAACCCAACGGGACCGUCCUCUGGGAAAACUCCAACCCAGUGAUGACUACUAUAAGAAUGUUAUGCUCAAUCUAAUCCUUAACUAAAAGGAUGCUAUGCUCUCACUAAUCCACAACUACGAGGAUGUCACAUUCACCAUGCCACAACACACUAUGUGUUCAAUGCUCCAGCAUUCAUUAUGCCAACUAAUGCCACACACCAAGCAUCUCAUUCUCUAACAUUCUUUAUGCUCAUUAAUGCCACAAGGCUACUUUAUUCAUGUGUCAUAAUGUCACUAUAUUCUUUACCUCAACUAGGUUCAUGUCACAAGGUUGCUUUACUCAUGUGUCAUAACACUACAACAAAACUAUAUUUUAGCGGCGAUUAUUUUUUAAAUUAGCGGCAAUUACAAUUGCCGCUAAAAUGUUUUGUGGCAAUUUUAACAAUUGCCGCUAUUGGCAGGGUCGCUAAAAGUUUUAGCGGUAUUUAUUCUGGCGGUUGGUAAAAAUCCAAAUAAAUGCCGCUAAAUAUUAUACAAUAACGACUAUUAUAAAUGCCGCUAAAUAGUAUGCAAUAACAACUAUUAUAAAUGCCGCUAAAUAAUAUACAAUAACAACUAUUAUAAAUGCUGCUACAAUUAAUUAUAAUUGUCGCAAAAAACAUACUAAAUGAUUGAUUAAUAAAGCUUAUAGCGGCAAUUAAAUUAAUAUUAAAAUACUUGAUUAACAACUAAAUACUACAAUGAAUUGAAAUAUUAAAAAAUAUUAGUAACCAAAAAGCAUUAAUAAUUUGUAUAACAAAUAGUCUCAACUCUCAAAUUACAAUCUCAGAAUUCAAAUUAAAUUUCAAACAUAAGUUCUAACAAAAAAUACUUGUUCAAAAUGUAGCAAAAAAAUAACAAACACCGCAUGUCUUGCUUCCAGCUUCAAUUUCCGCAGCUCCAGCUGAUCUGGAUCAACCAAAAAGAAGUCAUAAAAUUAGUAUCUGAAAUUACCAAAUAAAAAUCAUCAUAUCAAAUUUCUGAAAAAUAUAGAAAUUAGGUUGUACUGUUCAUCAACAAAUAAGAAGACAAUAGUUAACAAUAUAUAAAUACCAUAAAGCAUAUCCGCAAAAUAAUUAAUAAUGUAAAAGACCAAGUUCUGAUUGAUGGUUAAUCCUAUUUGUGCUUGGUUGAGGAAUAAAGAUUGUUCCGCUAUAGGGGAUAGUAAACAACAUGUUUUGAUUGGGUUUACUCAUAACUUGCUUGGCUAGGGAUAUGAGGUAAUCCAUAAUUAGGGUAGUAGCUCUAUUGGCAGAAGGUGGUAGGUCAUUUUCGCCAUAAGUCAAUAAUAUAGCUUUUGGAUCAUCUUGGAACUGAGAGCAAACCGAAGGCAACUUUUCUUCAGGAGAGGCAUGGGAAUGCUCUUCCAUUGCCCUCGUCAGGCAGCACAAGAUAUCAACAAGAAGGUGAAAAGCAAUCUAUUUUAGAAGUAUUUAAACACUCUUCAAAUAAGUGUAUCAAAUGGAGAAACUUGUAAAAACAGUAUAUCUUGUAUGGAAACGACUUUUUUGGCCUUUCACCGAUUUCAUCGAUAGCUUGUAUGUAUGGAAACGACUUACCAGAGAUGUCCUACGAAGUUCUGGGUUUAUGAACUCCAGUAUGCGAGCAAUGAUAUAAACAAAGUUCAGAUCUGCAACCAGUAUAUCUUCUAUACCAGGUUUCAAUACUUAUAUAACCACAUCUUCCCCAGAAUUUUCAGCCUUGCAGCAUGAACCUGGAAGGAAGUUACAGAAAUCUUCAAAAGUGCAACCUCAUAUGAAACAAAGUAAAAACAAAAAGGGUCUUUCACAUACAUAAACCCUAACAAUUCAUCUACUUACAAAUAUAUCCAUCUAACAUCUGAAUUUCCAUAUAUAUCCCCCAAAACUACAAAAUACACUUAUCUUAAGUUGGGUGUCACCCAAUUUAUGAGGGAAAUUGGUUUUAUAUUAAGAGAAACUAUAAAUAAGGUAUUUUCGUAAAUAUAAGGAUAGCAUUUCUUGAAGGGUAAAUAUAUCAAAUCAAGAUUGAAGAGACAAAUCCAUUAAUAGAUAUAUUUGCAGGAUUAAACAAUAAAUAUUUUAAUUAGGGAGGUCAACAUACAAACCUGAGCAAUUGAGGCUGAGGCAAUGGGAACUGGAUCAAUAUACUCAUAGACACUAUCUAAUGGCCUCUGCAAUUCUUCACGCAAGAUAGCCUCAAUCUGAUUGAAAGCACUUCUGAAAUUCCUCUACAUAUUCUGUAGGAAACAAUGUUAGGUGCAGAUGCUAUGAACUGCACCUCUGAGUAAUCAGUUGAAAUUCUGGUUGAUGAAUUAUGAGAAAUUAUAACCACCAAGAUUUGUCAGUAAACUGGGUGCCACCUUUUCAGCACAUAAAUAUGACCACAAGAAAACAUAGCUAUAAAUUUGAGAAAACAUCAGAGGAGAAAUAUAUUCUCUUUCCAGCAGUGGAAGAUUAGUAAGCUUAUCGAUUUAAGAGAAUACGAAAUAUACCAGAAAAGAGAAUACAUUGCUAAAGUCUUCAAGCUACAAAAGGGGAAUUAAAAGUUAACAUAUAACAUGCAUCUCUUUACCUGGCCUAACUUGAUGUAAGUUGCUCCCAUGCGUUCAAAUAAUUUCCGCACAUAAAUUGGGGACAGCAAUCCAAGCUGCAUGUCGGUUGGUAGCCUCAAAGAAGUGCUUGUGCUUGUUGCCUGCAUGAAAUCGAAGAUAAAAGCUUUUACUACUACUGAAGUUCCUCUCUAUAAUUUGAACACCACAGAAGCAGCAUCUAGAGAUAAGUUUAUAAUACGUAUCAUGGUUCAUGGAGGGUUAAAUGACUCCUCUGUACUAAGAACUAUAUAUCCUGUUUGCCUAAGUAUAUUAGUUAUACGGAAAAUUGUCUAGCUUGCAUAGCUUAUUUGCUUUAUUUGAGAGGUUUUUAGUCCAACUCAUCAUUGGGCAAGUCCGGACAAACUGUACAGCCUUUUCAGAGAAAGGACCUUAACAUAAAAGAUAAGAUCUAGACAUAUUCGUUGCACCUCCCUCGAAAUACUUUCUUGGAGAGACAAUAAGGUACAAAAAAAUUUAAAUGAAAAAAAUUUAUUCUUUAGGAUUAGUGAAAAGUGCACACACUUCUCAGCUCAAUAAUCAAUUAUAAUUGUUUAUAUUGGGUAUUGACAUUUGCACAAAGCAUCUAGAUGAUUCAAUUCACCAAAUCAGAUAAGCAUUCCCAGAAAAGCUCUUAACUAAUGCAAAGAAAGCAAAAUUUUUACAUUGAUAAUGUUUCAUCUAUUGCUGGGAACUUUAUUUUGUAGAGGAUGUAUAUCUCUGUACCUUUGACACAUCAUUUAGCCACUCUGAACCAACCUCAAUAACAGCUUGGAUGACUUGGGCCAUCCUCAGUGCACCCCGAGGUCCUAUACUGAGUGAUGUUUGGAGAAUGUCUUCCACUAGCUUCGGCAACUCAUUUAUCUUGUCUGGAUCAAAAUAAAGCAUUAUACACAACUGUGCCUGAAAAUUAGGAUGUGCGGUAUAGUUAUACUAAAUCAACAAGACCAAGAUGAAAUGAUGAGGCAAUUUGACACUCUAAAUUUGAAAAUGUUGGCUUAUAGAUACUGUACUAUUUGCCCAACAUACAACUAUGUAAGGUUGUUAGGGAUUGAUUCUACAACAGUCACCCCUUAACUUUGGACUCAGGUUGAGGCCAGGCUAAUGUUGAAGUUUGCGCAACACCUCACCAUAUCCAAUGUGAAACAAUUGAUUACUCUAAAAGCUUAAGCUACUAAGGAAUGGUAUUCAUACAAUUUUAUAUUUAACACUUUCCCUCGUAUCUGGGCUCAAGGCUUAGGUCCAAAACCAUGAUAUAAAACUAAGUAAAUUUUAUUUAAACGCCAUUAAUUAUUAAUUAAUUAAAAAAUCACAAGGUAAUAUUUAUAGGACCAAAGUUAAUUUUACAGCUAGUGAGAUAGAACAGAAUCUAAAAUCCUGUUAAGAGUAGAGUGAUACUUUUCAAAACUCAUACUUUUCUUUUAUGAAAGUCAGUCAGAUAACAUCAUAUCUGAAAAAACAUCUUGAGUAUAUCAAACUGAAUAUGAGGCAAAAUUCUAGUUACUUGCGGAUAAAAAGAUAUUCACAAUCAAACAUUUUAUGAAUAAAAAGUCAAACAUUGAUCACGAUUUUGGAGGUCUAAAUAAUCUCAAGCGUCCCGAAAUUCGUACUGAACUUCCAACUUAGUAGGUACUAUUAAGUUCGAUUGUCAGGCCUCAUCUAGUUCUUCUGUCUGUAUAUUUUAACUAGUUCUUCUCGAUCCGUACAAAUAAAAUUAAGAAUCGUCUCGAUCUGAAUUAAUAUUAGAAGAUACAUCUUUGAACUUCGAUUCAAUCUGAAUCAAACUUAACCACCUAAAUUUUCUGUAUCAGGAUGUUCUCAUGUUAGUCACAACACUUUUUAAGAUGACCCUCAACUAAUUAAGAGUGCAAAUUAAGUUUGUCCUGUAGAAUGCGAAAUGCAUAAGAUACAUAAAACUGAUAUGUGAGAUGAGAUCUUAGGAUUUGGCUCCUAUAAGAAAUGAUCCAGAAUUGUAUGUACCAAACGAAGGUUAGAUAAACAGCGCCAGCAGAGUUUAGUAUAAACUUGAAAUAUAAAAUCGAAAGUAAUAAUGCUUCCUAAUUAAUCAACUUGGAUGAAGGCUUAUACAGACAUUCUUUAGAUUAGAUGUAUUAAGAGUAAAUUAAAUAGGUUUUCAUUACUCGUUCACUUACAUAAAGUAAUAACAUAUAAUUUCCUUGAAAUUUUGAAGCAAUUCAAAAUACAUCAUUAGACAAUGUUAUUAGAUCUCAGCCAAGAGAUAAGAAGUAGCUAACUCAAAAAUUUACUGUUAAUUAAAAAAAAUUCUAAAAGCAAUCAGAGUAUGAAACUAAGUGUUGGAGGAGGCAAAAUUUAGAUAAAAAAAUUAAUUAAAUUAGAUGGGGGUAAGAGGGGAAAGGAGGGAUGCGAACUUGAUGCGAUGGAUCUCCUCAAAGAACUGGAGAUCGUAGACCUUGUCGGUGACGGCGAAGUGGACGACGCCGGCGAUGUGGUGGCGCUCGAUCGAGGUGGUCGACGGCGACGUUGCGCCGGCGCACACGAGGCCUAGAAGAUCGAGGGCCGAAAAGAUCAGGGCGAAUACGAGGGCGAUUUGGGACUGGGAUCGGAGCUUGGAGAGGACGCGGAAGAAGAGGGAGGAGGGGAUGAGCAGAGGUGGAGAGAGCGAGAGCUCGAGCUCGCGCGAAGGGGGAGAGCUCGAGCUCGCAGAGAAAGGGGUGAGGGAGCAAAGGGAUCGACGCAGGGGAGGGGUGCGGCAGAGUGGGAUCGGGUUGGGUUCGGAUGAGGAUGAGGGUUAGUGUUAGGGUUAGGGUUGUAUGAGUGCUCAAAGUAAAUAUAUUUAAUGAUAUUAGUCGGUAAAGAUACGUAGUUUAAAAUAAUUGUCGCUAAAGUACAAAUAGAUAAUAAGUAAUAGUGGCUGUUCAAUAAUCGCCACUAUUAAAUUGCCGCUAAAAGGUAAUUUUGUUGUAGUGUAAUGUCACUAUAUUUUUAUCUUUAUACUAAAAGCAUGCAAAUAACAUAUAUCCACACAUUCUCAACUUAACUCUACAAUGCAUGAAACCUAUAUACACAUACAUGCUUAAGUGACAUUUAGACAUAAAAGGAGAUUCGAUGAAUUCAGGAAGCACUACCCAUCUCGUAGGGUUACUAGGGUGCUAGAAUCCAUGUUCCGGAAUUUAUAGUCGCCAAUCGCCCACGACCCUCGGUAAAUGAAGCCAAAACGGGGUUUUUCCUCAAUUUCUUUGCGUAGACUUGUCGGAUCCUCGAACCGAGUCUCCCAACGCGUCGGUUUUCUCACCAAGUAGGGCUACAAGAGAUCAAACCUUAGUUAGAUCUCAAUCCUAGCAAAACCCUAAUUUGACCCCUAGGGUUUCCAUUAUUGCCAAAUAUUCACAUAAAUCUCAUAAUACAUGGAGAUUUAUACACUAAUCUACCAUAAUAGCUUCUACAUAUCAUAACUAGAAGAGAUUAGCAUAAACCCUAGCUAAACAUCACAAGAACUCACCUUGAGUUCUAGCUUCUUCCUCCACUUGUUGCACAAGUGCUAACUCUACCCUCCAAUAGGCUUUCUUCUCCACCAAGGCCCCCCUCUUGCAGCAAUCCUAGUGAGAGAAGGAGAGGAAAGGAGGGAGAGAGAGUAAGAGGGGCUCUAGAGAGAGAAAGAGAAAGCUUGUCUCUUUGGGUCUCAAAUGGGGAAAUGAGAGCUAGGGCAGCCAACUCUCCUAUAUGGUCCCAAAAAUGACAUUUACACUCAGGCCCUUCAACAAUACACCCAACUGAACGAACCCACGCAUUUUGCGAGUACGUGGUCCGGACCUUGCAUAGGGUCCGGACCCCGAGAGCAACAUUUCACAAUUUUCGCAGCGAGGGUCCGGACAGUGCUACAGGGUCCGGACCCCGAGAUCAAAACAUAUUCAAAACACUCUAAAUUUUUCCAGAGUUGCUCUCCAAGGUCUUAACACCAUAUAUAACCAUUUCGACGCACUCGAAACCUCAUUUCGGUCAAUUUGACUGAAGUUCAGUACAACCUACCGAAGUUUCGGUAUAUUACAUAGAUAGUGGGGUCACCGAGUGUAGGUCACCUUAUGUAUGAUAAAAGAAUGUAAAUGUUUAUUGGAGAUGUAAUUUGGAAUGUAAAUGUAUUAGAGAGCAAAGGUUGUAUAUUGAGGAAAGAAUCAUGUAUUAUGUAAAGUGUAUUAUGUAAAGUGGAAAAAGCAUGUAAAUUGUGAAUGUCCAAUGUUGUAAUAGUUAGAAUUUACUUUCACUUGCUCCUGCUGCUUGUCCUCGUGCAAGCCAUAUAUAUUGAAAUUUUCCUGGGCAAUUAUUUCUUUAUACAUGCUUAUGUUGUUGUGAUUGAGCCUUGGACGGACAGGGGAGGCUCUGUCCGUUGGGCGUCUGUGCACGUGCCCAAACACCAAAGUGGCGGUCCCGAGGCGUUACAUCCAGACACGCACCGGGCGGGGUUCCGCUGGGUCCCGGGGCAUGACAGACUGCCAGCUGCAAGGAUGACGAGAAGUGCAAGCAUAUCAUUGCCGAAUUGCUGUUGCAACCCAUACCACACUUGCAGUACACCUACGCCCAAGACUUGUUACGAUACAAGGGAAGGAUUUACGUGGGGGACCAAGGUGACAUUAAGGAGAGAAUAUUAAGCCAGUUGCACUCAUCGGCCCUGGGAGGCCACUUGGGGGUGCGACACACCUACAGGAGACUAAACCAAUACUUUUACUGGUCGAGUCUCAAACAAGUUGUACAAAACUACACCAAGAACUGCAUGGUUCGUAUACAGAAUAAGGUGGACGGUCAACUUUAUGCUGGCUUACUUCAACUGUCACGCCCCGGGACCGGCGAAGGCCCUCCCGGUAGCGCGCCCAGACCCGCCAUAUGUCUACACAUAUAAGGCGUCUACAAUACAAGCGGAAGUAAAGCAAGAGAUAGAAUAAAUAGAAUGAACAGCAACUAAUGAUAUCAGAGCGAGUAAAGUUCUAUCAUUUAAACCAGAGUAAAAGAAACAUAGUUAAACCAUAAAAGAAAAUAUAAGUAGUACAACAUCGAUGUCUAGUACAAAAAUGGUGGUCUCUAGUACACGGGUAAACUCUCAACCUCUCACAAAAAGAAAUACAUCGAGAGGAAGACCACCUAAACUCGUCUCUCACUGAAGGGCUAACUCGAAGCAACGCCCUUCCCACGGUCCCUAGCCUCUCCCGGCGUGGAAGGCUCUGAAAGAAAACAUAAAACAGAGGGCGUGAGAACUAUAAUUUAUAGUUCCCAGUGGGCAAUUACUGACCUCAGCUCAAUGCACCACUAGGCCCCAAAAGGAAAGGGUAAGUCGAAAGCAAUAGUAAUAACGAGUAAUUUGCAUUUAUGAAAGCAUAAUGGAAAUGCUAAACUACUACUUGCAAUUAAACAUGGCAUUUAUGCAAUGCACAAUUAUCUUGUCAUGAAGGAUAUGUCUCUACUUAGGCAUAGAUAAUGUCAUGGUUUGCUUAAUGAAAUUAUGAGGAUUAUCCUUUAUCAUAGCAACAUUGUUUAUAUGAAUACAAUUAAGCAAUGCCUCCUAGCAUACUACAUGUAUGUAUAUAUACCCAAGUCCAAAUCUAUGCUAGAAGCAAGUACGAGUAAUCCAACUACUACUCUUUAUUUGGUAGUGAUUAUAACAAACUCAUCCCGUGUCGAUUUCCAUUUCCAAUUAAGGACCUACCAAAGGUAGUCCAGCUUGUGCCGCCUAAGUGCCUGUGGUAGCCCAACAUCCCUACUCUUGGAAUGUGUCUGUCCCACUCGACCCCGUAGGCUUCUCAAUACCGCACGAGCGAAACAUAAGUCGCGUAGGCUAACUCCGGAGUGCCGGCUUGUAGGGAGCGACCCUCAUAAGCAUGUGCGAGUGAGCACAAAUGGCAAGCAAGCAUAGUCAACGCCUUAAAUACCCAAUCAUCAUGUCUUUAACAUGGCAAUAUUCGCUAGCAUCUCGAAGAUCUAGUUCUAGGUCACAAUGUGAAAUUCUAAUAUUCACUAAGUCUAGUGCCCCUUUAUGACACUUAGACAUUUCGAUGAACAAGCACACUCCAACUCACUCAAUGGCACUAUCCACUAAAUUCACACAUAACCUGAGCUCAAUGCCCCUUUAUGACAUUAGCCCAAUUGUACACAAGUAGUGCAAAUCCCCGAGCCCCUUUAUGGCUCACAAGAAACCUUUAAAUCUCAAAUAGAAAUAACUUUAAAUGCAUGCAUGAGAUGCUCAUUUUCACCAUAGGAAUUAUGAUUCCAAGUCUCAAUAGGAUGCUAAACCUGUUCACGUUCCAUAUGCUAGCUCUCUACUACAUAGAGGUCCGAAAUUUUCACCACAUGUAACGUAGGGAAUUUAAGCCUUCUAAAAAUCAUAAUAAAUAUAUCAAACAUGAAAAUGCAUGAAUAAACAUUUAAUAGUACUCAAAUAAACACAAAUAAGAUUUUCUCAUUGUGUGGCUAGGUUAAACCCACCGAACCGUCGCGUGCUCCUUCGAUUCGCCGAACAGAGUUGUCCACAAGUCUCAAAAUACCCUAAAAGUAUUGAGCGAAGAGAUACACGGGCAUUACGAUCAACUAUAGGAUCAAACAUUAACCAUCUCGAAAAUAGGGUCAAAACUCACCUCUAGUGCAAAAUCUCUUCCUAAGCUCCAAAAGAGAGCUAAAUCCCUUCCAAUCCAACCCAAAGGAAGGCUCUAAUCCAAGUGAUCAAGCUCCAAAAGCCCUAGAUCAAAAAUCCCCAAAAUCAACCCUAAAAUCUCAUUCUAGGGUUCCAACACAUGAAAACCUCAAAUCCAAAGUCUAGAUGGAGAGAAAGGGCUACCAACCUCUAAGAAGCUUCAAUCCAAGCUCAAAGGGUGAAGAUCUUCUCUCUUGCAAGCUCCAAGUCCAAGCACCAAGCACCAAGGAAGAAGAUAGGGUGAGGAAGAUGCUCCAAGUCCACUAGUAGCUCUCAAACUUCUUCUUCUUCCCUCCUUCUUCCCCUUCUCCUUCUUCUUCUUCUUCUCUAUCAAGGGUGUAGAGAGAGUUGAGAGAAGAGAAAUGAGGAGAAGAGAGAGUGGAUGGGUCAUAUAGACCCUCUAUUGUAACAAAAUCCAACUAGGUCCCUCAAAAAUCCAAUAUUGCAACAGCCCGGUCUGGGCAGUUUUCGCCCAGAGGGACCGGUCUCUCCCCAGCAGGGACCGGUCUCUCGCUGCGAACCCGAGAAACCAACGUUCGGGAACCGGUCUCUCCCUGCGCGGGACCGGUCUCUCACUGCGUAGACGCGCUCGGGGACCGGUCUCGCCCGCCAGGGACCGGUUGCCUCAGGACUGCCGCAACACUGCUCACUGGGGGACCGGUCUCUCCUUUCAGGGACCGGUCCCCGAGAGUGAAAACUCUCAGGACUGGUCCAGAAUUCAGGUUUUCGAACUUUUUAGGUUGGAAAACAUUCUACGACCCUCCACCAAGUGUGGAAAAGCUCGAAACACAUCCAGUCACUCGAACCUCGCAAUUUGCAAAGGUCCAGUGUGCUACAUCAACCCCUGUCGAUUCCCACAAGGGAAUGACAAGAAAUUACUAUGGAUUUUAUUGAAGCCCUACCAAAAUCCGAAGGCAAAGACAGUGUUAGUGGUGAUAGACCGACUCACCAAGUAUGCCAAUUUCCUCUCCUUGACCCACCCCUUCACAGCCUCAAGCAUCGCGAGAGCCUUCCUCGACACAGUCUAUAAACUGCACGGGUUGCCUAAAACAAUACUGACGGACCGAGACAAGGUGUUCACAAGCAAGAUGUGGUAAGAAAUAUUUAAACUGUUGGGAGUUAAAUUGCUAAUGAGCACAGCCUACCACCCGCAAACCGACGGCCAAUCCGAGAGGCUAAACCCGUGCCUCGAGACUUACCUUCGUUGCAUGUGCUCUCAUCAGCCACACACAUGGCAUAAAUAGCUGAGUAUGGCGGAAUGGUGGUAUAACACCACAGCUCGCUGGGAACGACACCCUACCAGGCUCUCUACGGACAUCCGCCGCCCAAUGGUUUAGUCGUGAAUUUAGGAGUAGAAACCUCACCUACGAUACAAGAGUGGGGAAGGGAACAAGAAGGGAUGACACGACUGCUAAAGGAAAGACAGCUAUAAGCCCAAAACCGCAUGAAGCAGAAUGCCAACAAAAGAAAGGUACAUAAAGAAUAUCAAGUAGGAGAUUAUGUAUACCUGAAGCUGCAACCUUAUAGCUAAGUGAGUGUCGCAGUUAGGUGAAACCUGAAGCUCUCAGCGCGAUACUACGAGCCUUUUAAAAUCAUGGAGAAGAUUGGACAAGUGGCAUAUUAACUACAGCUGCCGGAAGGAUCGAAGAUCCACUCGGUGUUCCGUGUAUUAUUGUUGAAAAGGAGCCCCCAAACGAACUCACCGGUAAACCCAAUAGUGCCCUUGGUCGGGGAAGAUGGUCAGCUGCUCGCACGGCCGGAGCGAAUAUUGGAGAGGCGCAUGGUGAAGUAAGGAAACUGAGCAGCUAGCCAAGUGCUCGUGAAGUGGGAAAGCCUGGACGAAGGAGCAGCUACCUGGGAGGAUUAUUGGUUUCUUAAGUCCCAGUUCCCGAACUUUGAUCCGGAGCCCGAUCCGUGAGGCCACGGAUCUUCUAAAGUGGGGAGGAGUUGUAAGACCUAUAGAAUAAAUAGUAGAAAUAAUUAGUAAACAGGGAGAGAAAGGUAGCAACUUUACUUAGUAGAGUAACCGGUAGUCGCAAGAAAGAAAAUGGUGAGCUCGGGGAGAUGAUCAGGCUGAAGAUGCUUCGAGAGAGCUCUAGCCAGUCGUCGGAGGAAGAGGAGGCAUGAGGAAGCUAGGGCAUCCUCCAAACAGGGAAGGAGGAGAAGAUCAGAGUAGAGAAAUAGAUACACAAAAUCUGGAGUCUGGGCGAAGUAGUAAUACUUCAGAGACUGGCGGGUCAGAGGACCAAAACUCUGGAUCGGGGGGAAAUGGCGGACCCAAAACCCCCUAUUUGGAGGGUUGAAGAAAGAGGGCGCCCGCUAACCCACGUUCGACUACUAGGAUGCUUUGGACUGGCCGAGCCCAACUAAGGCCCAAGCCCCUACUGAAUUGAAGCCAAAUCGGUCCGAACCUCUUUUUAUCACUUUUGCGAUAUAACCUUCAUAGAAUGGCUAUUUUCAUUUCAGUAUGAAUCACUAGGCAUUAUAAGUGCCAAAUUAUGCUGUAAACAAAAACAUAUGGAAUAUAGUAAAGCUUUUUCUUCCCAAAUUCUCUUCCUCCUUCCCGUCUCUCAUCUUCUUCUCCUACCUUCAUCUCUCUUUUCCCUCUUUAACCCUCUCUUCCCUUCUCGCUCUCAACUCAGCCGACUAGCAUUAUCGGAGGUAAUUCUGCUGUUGUAACGCCAUCAUCCUCCCUGCCAUCCUUGUCUCGGCAAAAUCUCGUCAUCGACGGGUUGCGAGUUGUCUGGGGUGUUAUAUCCGGUCUGAAUCUACAAAAUAGAAAAUACAGAUCUAGUUUUGUAAAAACUCAAACUUGUAAAUUUUUUAUGCAAACUGGCAUAUUUUUUAUGCAAAUAGAUUAAAAAAAAGGGGCCAAUUUGCAUAAAAAAUCCACUAAUUUUAGCUUUUGCAAAAGUGGGCCAUCUUUUUCGUUUUUGCAGAUUCGGACCGAAUUUUCAGCAAACUGACCAAAAUAUCAGUUAUUACUUUUUCUCUCUCCUUUUUCUCUCUCCUUUUUUUUUUUUUCUCUUGUUCAUUUUUUUUUCUCUCGCUGAAGAGGCAGCGGAGGCAGAGGCGGAAGCGGAAACCGCUCGCCUCACCUCUCACCCUCAUGCUCUCGCCCUCGCCCUCGCCCUCGCCCUCGCCCGUGCACUCCCCAGCUUCCUCGCCUCCGACCCCGCCAAGGCUGCGCCGCAACUCUUUUUUUUUUCCUCUCUGACUCUCCUCCACCAUCUCCGACGACGACGACUCUCUCAUCCUUCCCCGCCAUUCUUGUCCUCUCCCUCUCCUUCCUCCUCUACCGCCUUCGCCGACGACGCAUCUUCGCCGAUGCCGGCACCGUGGAGAUCGCUGAGGCGCUGCAGCCUCGGAGCGUAGGGUUCUUAGCGGUGCUGUCGCCGGCGCUUGCAGAGACGGGUGACAAAAAAAUAUAUAGAAAAAACAAGAAAAAAAUAAAGAUAAAAAAUUAUAAAAAAAAGAUGAAGAUGAAAUUGCACUGUUAAAAAAAAAUUUACUGUUUUAAAAGAACGUUGCACUAUUAAGAUGUAAACUGCAGCUUUAAGAUAAAAAUUACACUCUUUAAACAAAAUUACACUCUUUAGGAGAUAUUUACACUGUUUCUCCUCUUAUUGCACUCUUUCAGAUGUAAAAUGCAUCCAUUAAGAUGAAAGUUACACUAUUUAAACGAAAGUUGAACUCUUUGAGAGAUAUUUAUAUUGUUUCUCCUCUUGUUGCACUUUUUAAGAUGUAAACUGCACCCCUUUAAGAGAUAUUUAUACUGUUUCUUCUUUUGUUGCACUAUUUCUCCUCUUGUUACACUAUUUCUUCUCUUAAAGGGUGCAGUUUAAGAGAAAAAAUAGUGUAACAAAAGAAAAAAUAUUGCAACAAGAGAAAAAACAGUGCAACAAAAAAGAAAUAGUAUAAAUAUUUCUUAAAGGGGUGUAAUUUACAUCUCAAAGAGAGCAACAAGAGAAGAAACAGUAUAAAUAUCUCUCAAAGAGUGCAACUUUCAUUUAAAGAGUGUAACUUUCAUCUUAAUGGAUGCAGUUUACAUCUGAAAGAGUGCAAUAAGAGGAGAAACAGUAUAAAUAUCUCCCAAAUGGUGCAAUUUUCAUUUAAAAAGUGUAAUUUUUAUCUUAAAGCUACAGUUUACAUCUUAAAGAGUACAACUUAUGUCUAUAAUAGUGCAAUGUUCUUUUAAAAUAGUACAAUUUUAUUUUAACGGUACAAUUUCAUCUUCAUCUUUCUUUUUCUCUAAUUUUUUAUCUUUAUUUUUUUUCUUACUUCUUUUAUAAUUUUUUUUGGUCACCCUCUCUGCCAACGGCCACGGCGCCGACGACGACGUCGCUAAUUAAGGAUCCCUCGCUCCGAGGCUGCAGCGCCGCAGCGACCUCCACGGUGUCGACAUCGGCGAAGAUGUAUUGUCAUCGAAGGCGACAGAGGAGAAGGGAGAGCUAGAGGACAAGAAAGGCGGGGAAAGACGAGAGAAGCGUCGUUGUCAGAGACGGUAGAGGAGAGUCAGAGAGGAAAAAAAAAAAGAGUCGAGGCGCGGCCUCGGUGAGGUCGGAGGCGAGGAAGGUCGGGGGUGUGCGGGCGAGGGCAAGGGCGAGGGCGAGAGUAUGAGGGUGAGAGGCGAGGCGGACUGUUUCUGCCUCCGCUGCUUUCUUCGGCGAGAAAAAAAAAAAAACAAGAGAAAAGAAGCGGAAAGAGAAAAAAGAGAGAAAAAGUAAUAAGGUUAAUAAGGGUAUUUUGAUUAGUUUGUUGAAAAUUCGGACCGAAUUUAUAAAAACGAAAAAAGUAGCCCACUUUUAUAAAAAUCUAAAAUUAGUAAAUUUUUUAUGUAAAUUGGGCCAAAAAAAAAGAACAAAAAUUGUGCACUAGCUGCACGGAAAAUUGCCCACUGCUCUCAAAUCAGGGAGCAGCGAGCACCUGCAUUUGAUGCCACGCGGCGUCCAUCGGGAGUGGCCCCAGAGAAACUUGCUUGGGGCUACUUCCCCACAAAAUUUGGGCCGUGUCUCUUCCUCUUCUCCUUUGCUUCCGAGACUCAAGAACCCUUGCUUCUGUCCCGUCUCUGUCUUGCCUCUAGGGUUCCAAAACAAUCAGCUUCCUCCUCUCCGACAAAGCUAGCGUUCAUGGCGGGGAUGCGGGUUCCGCCGCAGGAGGACUCGGAGCUCCCCAUGUCCCGGCCGCCGCCUCCCCCGGCUGCCGGCGAUCUGGUGUCGGACGACGACCGAUCGGUGGCGGCCGACUCCUGGUCCAUCAAGAGCGAGUACGGAAGCACCCUCGACGACGACCAGCGCCACGCCGACGCCGCCGACGCCCUCGCCGCCGCCAACUUCCCUGCUGCCAUCUCCGACUACAGGUUUGCCCCACCCCCUUCUUGAUCAUCCUUAUCUCUUCUACUCCUUAUAUGUUAUUAGAGCAGUGCGUUUAGGAGAAGUACUUUGCUGAAAUCCCUCCCCUCCAGCAGCUUCUCUGUGUGAGCUUCUGCUUUUGGAACGCAGAAUCGCUUUUCUGCUUCCCUCCGCACCAGAAGCUCCGCGCUUUUGUGUUUUCUUGCGAAACCCUUUUGUUGGCGACUGGUUUCUUGCUGCUGAAAGACAGAAAGAGUAAUGAUUUUAGGAGAAGCAUUGUAUUGAAAUUCCUCCGGUAGCAUCUCUCUGCACCAGAAUCAAAAGUUCGCAAUUUGGGCUCCAGCUUUUGGGCCUCAGAUCUCACUUCUGCCUGCAUAGGCUCCGUACUUUUCCUAUUGCCAAACACUCUACUAGAACUGCUAAAAGCAGAAAUCUAUAUGCUUCUGAGUUCUUUCUGUCUGUUUGAUUGUGUGAUUAAACUAUUGACAUUUUGAUCAAAUCUGAACUUCUUGAUUUGGAGUGAUGCCUGUGAUAAUACAACAGUGCUCGUGGAACAACUUAAACUGUGCUUCAUGCAAGUUGUCGUUCUUAGCAAAGAGGGAAUGAUUACUUGCUGGACAUCACUCAUGAUAUUUCGGUCCUCAUUUCGAGUAAUUGUUCUGUUGAUAGGUUCCAUGAAGUUGGAAAAGUUGCCUUGAAGAACCAAGACUAGGUUUACCAUGAGUAUUUUGUUCUUCUGCUUUUGCUUGUGCUUAGAUGGCCCUGUUUUCACGUGUGCAUGUAUUACGCGCCUGCAUGUGAGGAGCGCAUGCAUGUGAUUGUCGUUGCACCUAAUUCUUUUUGUGUAUGUGUUUAAUGGGAUAUGACUGGUAAAUUGCAGAACUAGACUUUCCUCUGGAUUGACUAGUGAGGGAUAUGUUGCAUGCAGUCUACUUUUAUGGUGCAACUGGUUGUUUUUGCUUCUCGAUAUCGAGGAAUAUCCACAAUCAUCUUGUGUUGAGCUUUCCAUGUUUUGUCUUCUUAUGAGCCUUCUGGAUAUCGUUGAAUAGACGUUUUUGUCUAAAUGAAUUUGUUGCAUUACCAUGAAAAUUUCCAUUUUUUUGCUUCUUAAGUUAUCGGGUGCAUAUAGAUCAUAGUAAACUGAAAUGAUACCAAUAUAUAUAGGGCCUAUCAAUUAGGCUUCAAUUUUAUUAGCAUUCUUUGAUAUUAAUUAGUGGUAUGCCAAUUGAAUGGAAUUCAUUUUGCAAUACCAUAUAAAUGAAACUGGAACCUCGCUUAUUAUCUACUUCUUGUGCAUCUAUGUUGUGCCCUUCUUUGUACUUAAAGUUAGUUGAUUAUGGUGGUACAGGGCUAAAAAGUAAUAAAAAAGUCUAACAUAGGGCUACAAGGAUAGGUUGCAAAUUUAAUAUUGUCACGCCCCGAUUCCACAGCGGAAGUCCACGGGGAUGUCAACAGACCUGCCGAACAGGCAGAGUUUUUCCUGUCUAGACGUGUUAACAUAACAUAACAGUAGCAAAGCAAUUCUAGAGAUCACAAACUAAAAGUUUUCCAAAUCACAAGAGCAAUAAUAAAGUCACUAAAAAACGAACUAUAUGUAUCAGAGCAUUAUAAACAAAACUACUAUACAUCACUGUAUAACAUUAUGUAGUCCUACUAACCAGAAAGAUAGACGUACAAAUAAAAGGCCAUGGCCAUCGCUGGUCCUGAUAUAUAGCAUAAACUGAAACAUCUAGCUGGUGGUCCUCUAUCGCUCAAGUACACUGGUAGGAGGUACUAUCUAAGAAUAAUUCCUUACCUCGAUCAAUAGAAGGUGUAGCCGUCUCUGAAAAAAAAUCACAAGAGGGCGUGAGAACUACUAAACAGCAGUUCUCAGUGAGUACAAUUGACGACAACCACGACCUUCCCACUAGGUCUACUAGAGGCAAGAAUAAUGAAAGAACAGUGAAGUAUACUACAGAAUGAGUAACUGAGCAUAAUAUGAACAGAUAUAUAAUUACUGAAUUAUCAUGCCUCUAUUCAUGUAGUGAAAAGGAAGGAAAGGAGGUAACUAAAGCAUGCCUCAAUGCUAAUCUAAUAAACAAAUGCUGUAAUAGUACCUAAUCGCAACGACCGACUUAUAGGUUUGGUAAGCCUGUGCCAGCCUAGUGCGCGGACACACUCCCGCAGGUGUAACGGCAACACCUAGGAUACUGUCUCUGCUAUCGUUGGCCAGCAUCCAGAGCAGCACUCGAGGGGAGCGACCCUUACCGAGUAUCAUAGCACGUAUCACUGUCAAUCUGAAUACGGUUUUGUAGGCUAUGGUCUAUGCAAUGCUACGCUUUAGCACGUAUCACUAUCAAUCUGAAUAUGGUUUGCAGGCUAUGGUCUAUGCAAUAUUGUAAUGAUAAAAAAGAUCAGUAAUAUUGAUCCAUGUGCCCUCGGCACGAUCAUAGAGCCUAUCAAUUCACUAAUCACAAUGGCAUACUCAUAUACCUCCUAAUAUCUCAAAAAUAGUGCCUGCUAUUGCUGCACUCUUCCACGGCCUUUAUCACAAGUAUUUUAGGAUAUAUAAUGCAAUAAUCAAUACAUGUCAAUGUCUAGUGAACCCUUUUGGCAUAACCUCAUAUAUGUAGUAUAUCAACAAAAGAAACUUGAUAAUCUCAAGAAACUAAACUGGUCAUUUCCAUAUGUUACACAUCAUGAAUCAUGUAUCAAACAUAAUGCAUGUAAUGUCAAUGGCCUCUUUCAGCUUAGACUAGUAUAUGUACCUUAUUACAUGAGGAGGAAUUCAUUGUGAAAAGCAAUUUGACCUAUUGUUCAUACAGUCUAGUUUAAGUUAGUACCCUCAAGAAUACAUCAUAUUAUC
rnacentral:lncRNA from 1 species